AAAUUGGUUAAUAGUAAUAUCAAUGAUUCAAUUUUAUUCUUACCAGUAUCUGUCCUUUAGAAAGGGACUUAUAAAAGAGAUAGAGGUGAGUAAACUUGAGCUUCAGCUUUCCUCAAACACCUUAAUUUGAAGACACAGUUCUCUCAUACUAAAAAAGACAUGGAAGUUUGCCUUGUAAUUAGAGAUUUGGUUUCAUUGCUUGUUGUUGGGUUAUUAAUGAUAUGGGGAUGGAGAACUUUAAACUGGGUAUGGCUGGCCCCAAAAAGGCUCGAAAGCUGCUUGAGACAACAGGGUUUUGCAGGGAAUCCUUACAGGUUCCUUUCUGGUGACAUAAAAGAGCUCUUCACUAUGAGCAGACAAACAAGAGCCAAACCAAUGCCUCUUAGUGAUGAUAUUGGGCCUUAUGUUGUUCCUUUUCAACAUCAAACUGCUAACCAGUAUGGUAUGUUUUUUUUAUUUAAUCUGCAAAUUAUGAUAAUUCUUUGUUAUUUAUGUAUGGAAUUUAUUGGGAGGAAAUGCAGGAAAGAAUUCAUUUACGUGGUUUGGUCCAAGACCAAGGGUGAACAUUACGGACCCUGAAAAAAUAAGAGAAAUACUUAACAAAUUUAAUGACUUCCAGAAGAUACGUACCAAUCCUCUGCUUAAUUUGCUUGUAAGCGGCCUUGUUAACCUCGAAGGAGACCGAUGGAGCAAGCGUAGAAAAAUCAUAAACCCUGCAUUUCAUCAAGAUAAGUUGAAGGUAUAGAAUAGUGAUGGGUAAUCAGACUUUACAGAAAACAUCAUACUUAAACCAAUGCUUUUCUGAUUUAGAAAUAAUUGGAUGCAGAAUAUGUUGCCAGCAUUUUAUCAAAGUUGUAGUGACAUGUUAAGCAAAUGGGAGAAGAUGGUGUGUACAGAAGGAUACAGUGAGUUAGAUGUGAGGCCUUAUCUCGUAGAUUUGACAAGAGAUGUGAUUUCCCGAUCUGCUUUUGGAAGCAGCUUCGAAGAAGGCAAACGAAUUUUCCAAUUACUAGAGGACCAACUCGUUCUCACAAUCAAAUUAAUACAAACUGUUUACAUUCCAGGAUGGAGGUAACCGUCAACUUAAUUUACUUGAAAAAGGUUGCAAAUCUUGGAAUUGGCUAAAUUCGUGUUUGUUUUCUUGAAGGUUUUUGCCAACGAAGACAAACAGGGAGAUGAAGAUGAAACACAGAGACAUAAAAGAGUCGCUUAGGGAAAUGAUAAAGAGAAGGGAGAAGGCAAUUAAAGCAGGGGAAGAGAGCAAUGAGGACUUGUUGGACAUACUUGUGGAAUCCAAUAUCAGAGAAAUGGAAGCAAAGAAUAUGGGGAUGAGCAUUGAGGAUGUGAUUGAGGAAUGCAAGCUGUUUUACUUUGCUGGCCAAGAGACCACUUCGGUCUUACUGGUGUGGACUAUGGUUUUAUUAGCAAGGUAUCCCGAUUGGCAAAGUAAAGCAAGAGAGGAGGUUUUGCAUGUUUUGGGUGACAAUAAACCUGAUGCUGAUGGCCUUAAUCGUCUCAAAGUUGUAAGUCCCUAGCAUGUCUUUUGAAGGUCCGAUCAAUGAGGUCGACAACUCAAAAACUUUGUUUCUUUUUUCGCUAAUUCUACAGGUAACGAUGAUAUUGUACGAGGUUCUAAGGCUGUACCCACCGGUGGUUGAGCUAGGACGUUCCGUUCCAAAAGAAAUAAAACUGGGGAAUUUGUUGUUACCAGUAGGAACAGAAGUUUCGGUUCCGAUCCUGCAGAUCCACCAUGACAAAGAUCUUUGGGGUAACGACGCACGGGAAUUUAAGCCAGAGCGGUUCGCGGAAGGGGUUUCCAAAGCAACAAAGAGUCAAGUCACGUUUCUGCCAUUCGGAUGGGGUCCUAGGAUCUGUAUUGGCCAAAAUUUUGCUUUGAUGGAAGCCAAAAUGGCGAUGGCUAUGAUUCUCCAACGCUUCUGGUUCGAGCUUUCCCCUUCCUAUGCUCACUCUCCUUACAGCAGGGGAACUCUUCGUCCACAGCAUGGUGCACAGAUAAUUUUACAUAAACUUGGCUGUAAUUGAAUUGUUAUGUAAACAAAUCUUUGUGAAAACAUAGCGUUUUAGUGUAUCGUCAAAGUCCGGUGUCUGUAAUGGUACAAAUUCGAUGCAUGAAUAGUAAAUUUUGAGAUGUUUGGUGAAGUCCGAAAUAAUAUGCAGAAAUUGAGCGUCUAUGGUGGACAUAGUUGAGGGACUAAUGUGGUAAUUAUCAAUCAAAUAAUUCGGUACAAAGACUUGUAUGGAAAUUAAAGCAGGGGGAGUUGAAAAUGACUACUCUGCUUUGGGCAUCAAUUUAGAAAGAUUUAAAGUACAACUGUGUUAUCAGUUAAGGGAUUUGUUUUAAAGAGGGAAUGACAAUUAAACCUCAUGGUUUAUUUGUGCAAGGGAACCGAUGAUGGGAUGAUUAUUCUUAGUGGUAAAAAAAACCAUUAUGGAGGUUAUUACACUUGUUAUCAUCAGCUUAAAAUUCGAAUGGGUUCAAGUCGGAUUAUAUCGAGCUUGUAAGAUGAGUUCACGGACCAAGUUUGCAUAAUAAAAUACCUAAAUGAAAAAAAAUUCUAUUUUAGAGGGACGAGAGCCCCUAUCAACUCCCGGCUCAGCCACUAAACAAUACCUAUAUCAUAUAAAUAAAUACCACCAUCUAAAAGACUCAAAGAAAAACACUCAACAAAGGAUAAAUAGAUAGAUGUUGGAUAAGUGUCCAAAAUAUGAUUUAAGUGAAGAUACAUGUGGUAGGUGUUACGGAAAUGUGAAGACAAGAAUCCCACUAACGUAUGGGAUGUGUGCAGUUGAAUGUAGGGAGCAAAAAGAGGAGUGAAUCAUUUUGGUAACAUUUGGACAAGAAACAUAAUGAACAAAAUGGAAGGAGAGGAAGCUAGUAAAAGAAUUUUUUUGGGUCAUAUAAUUUGUUCAUUUUGGAGUUGAAUUAUAAUUUUUUUAUAUAUUAUUUUAAAAUUUUAAGGAGUUAAAACAAAAUUAUUUUAUUUUCAGAUGGUCAAAGUAGAGGUGAUAAUGGGUUGGGCUAUUCGGCCCGGCCUGACGAUUCACUCGAAAAAUAGGAGGGUUUAGGUAAAAAUAUAGGCUCGAAAUAGGGAUUUGAGCAAAAAAAGAGUCCCGUUUAGAAAAUGGGCCAGGCCUCGGGUAAAAUUUUUUGGGCCCAAGCCUGACCUGAAUUAUAUAUUAAAUAUAUUUUUUAAUUUUUAAUCAAAUAUACUUUUUUUUAUUAAUUUGGUUAUUAUUUUAGUUCUAAUUUGUUUCAAUUUUAAUAUAACCACUUUUUAUUAUAUUUUCAAUUUGUGUAUUGUUUUAAGAAUUGUUUUAGUCUCAUUUUUUUAUUUAUUUUUUGUUUUAAUAAUUGUUUUAAAAAUUUUUAUUUAAUGAAAUAAGCUAAAAAAAUUAAUAUGGGCUUGGCCAGGCCAGGCUCGGGCCUAGUAAUUUUCUUUUGGGCCGGACUUAGAUAAAAUUUUAAGCCCAUAUUUUAAAUUGGGUCCUAACCUAAAAAAUGAACCUAAAAUUUUAUAUGGGCCCGACUUGGCCCUUGAUUACCUUUAGGUCAGAGCUAUCCUCGUUUUGCAUUUCUUUGAGAUUCAGCCUUAUCUACUGUGAUUGCCCACUCAAUUGAGGGUUGAGUAGAAAGAUUUGGUGAAGCAAGCUAAGCUAUCAAUCAAGGUUUGCAUAAUUAUUUAAAUGUAAUUCUAAUAUUAAAAUAAUUUUUUUAUUAAUAUAGUAUCAACAAGCAUUAAAUGUAAUGAUCAUAUACUAUUACAUUUUAAAGAAGAGAAAACAUGUUUGAACUUUAAAAACCACGUUACUAAAAACAUUAUCACAAACCUUGAAAUAUAAAAAAUAAUUUUUUUAAUAUAAUAAAAAAUUAAUUUUAAACCCGAGCUGAAUAAAAUUCUAAUUUUAGUUAAUGAUACGAACAACAAAUCAAUAUUCUAAGCCCGAGCCCUGCUCAUUUUUUUAAUAAACACCAAAAAUUUAUUUUGAAAAUAAAAAAUAAAAAAAAUAUUUUAAAAAUAUUUUAAAAAUAAAAAAAAUUAAAAAUAAAUAUUUAUUAUAUAUUCAGGCCGGGCCGGGCUAGCCUUGGGCUAAAAAAAUGGUGCCCGAGGCCCGGCCCAUUUUCUAAAUAGGCCUCAUUUUUUGUCCAAACCCAUAUUUUGGGCCUAUAUUUUUACCCGAACCUCUCAUAUUUUGGGCGGACCGUCGGGCCGGACCGGGCCGCCCGGCCAUGAACACCUCUAGGGCAAAGUCACUCAAUGAAUGCAUGGAAAGAAAUAUUGCAACUUGGUGACAGCUUUUGUUGGAGUUAUAUGCUUUUUUUUACAUAGUGGAACUUUCGGUGGAUUUUCAAGUUUCAUGAACUUUAUACCCUAGGCUUUACGUGAAAAAAAUCAUUGGACUUAAAAGUCUACCAAAAGUUUCACUAUAAUAAAUAAAUAAAUAAAUAACAUUGCUACAAGACUACAACAUAAAGUUACAAUAAGAGCUUAUAACUCAACAAAGGCUAUCAAUAAAUAAUCUCAAGCAAGCUAAAGAGAAAUGUUGAGAGUACCACUCAAAUAGUGAUUGACUUUAAAAAUUGAAAACCCGAAGUUAUUGUUGACACCAUUUUUUGGAUGAAAAUGUGUCGACUUGGGUUUUGAAAAUGAAAACGAAAACGAGAGUCGCCACCAAUCCUUUUUGAUAAGGUGUGACUGGGUCACCUUGAAAAGUGGUUGUUUUUAAUAAACGAUUUGAUUUUAUUAAAACAACAGUUUUGGUCCACGAAAUUCAGAAAAAUGAGUUCGGGAGUCGGUUACGCACGAGGAAGGAUUAGCACCCUCGAUACGCCCAAAAUUGGUACCUAGUUGAUUACUUAAUGUCUUAAUGUCGAAAAUUGAAAACUUUGGAGAAUUUUAAACAUACGAUCCUUGUAUUAAAACGUUAAAAAUUUUCAAGAAAAUGGGAUAUUUCACGUUAUUCGAUAAAGAGAAUCAUAUCCUAGUAAGUUAGGACACAAUAUCUCGAAUUUCCGAUAUCAUUUAAAACUUGAGUUUGAAAAGAUUCGUGUAAUAAAGUUUAAAAUAAUAUUCAAUUGUUUAAAUCAAAUGAAGAAAUCGCAACCCAAUACGUUAGGGCACAAUUUCUCAAAAUAUUAAACAUUGAAUAUUGCAUUUAUUUCGAAAAAUCCUCAUCUCGAGAAAACGUGUCACAUCCAAUGCAUUAGAAUACAACGUAUUGAAUUCUCGAUAACGAGCUUUUUCUCAUUUUUUAAAAGAGUAAUCUCGAUUAUUUAGGUUCAACGAAGAAAAUCAAAACCCAAUACGUUAGGGCUCGAUUUUCUCAAAGAUUCCAAAUACCGAGUAUUACUUAUAUUUUUAAAAUUUCUUUUUUGAAAUCCGAGUAAAAAUGAAUGCAAAAUAAUAAAUGAUGACAAUGUAAAUAAAAUGAUACAAGCAAAACAAUAAACAAUAAAAAUAAUCAUACGGGCAAGGUAACAAAUAAUUAGGAACUAAAGAAAGAGAACAAACAAUAAUAAACAUGCAAAUAAAUGAACAAAAUUAACAACAUGAUGCAAAUAUGAAAGAUAUAUAAGCACAUAUAUAUACAUAAAAUAAUGAGAAUAUGAAAAAAUGUGUGUAAUUGGACAUGUUUCGGAAUUAUUAUACAUUUAAAAAUCAUGUAAAUGUGUGUACAUACAUAUAUACAUAUAUAAUAAUCAUUAAAUAUAUAAAAAUACAUAUGUGUAGGUAUAUAUGAGUCAUAAAAUGUAAAGAAUAUAUACAAGAUAUAUUUUGAACGUAUAAAGUAUAUGUAAAUGUAUAUAUAUAAUAAAGGUGUAUGAAAGCAUAUUUUAUAUACGUGUAUUUAUAAAAUGUAUAUAAAUGUAUAUUGAUUUACCAAUACAUAUGGAUUUAUAAUUAUAGAAUAUAUAUAAAAUAUUUACAUAUAUACGUUUAUGCAUAUAUAAAAGUAAGUUAUUAUAAAAUAUGAGCAAGCAGAAUACAUAAAUAUAUAUACAUAAAAUAAAAAUGAAGAUGAAAAUAAUAUAAAACUACUUAAUAUAUUAAUAUAAUAGUAACAAAUUAAAAAAACAGAAAAUAAAGCUAAUAAUAAUUAAUAAUAGUAGUAAUAAUUAUAGCAGCAAUGAUAAUGAUAAUAAUAAUAACACUAAAAAAAUUAAUUAAAUAAUAAAAUUGCUAAAAAGGGAUUAAAUCGAAAUAAAAACAUAAAUACUGGGCGAUUUUGAAAUAAAAAACGGGAAGGACCGAAUUGCAACGCGCGUUGAAAAGGAAAGGGCCAAAACUGCAAAUAAACCACAGCCCCAAAACGCAGCGUUGAAAUGGACCAAGUCGAAAUAAAAAUAAAAUUGCAGGGGCUAAAUUAAAAAUAAGAGAAAAUAACGAAAAAUGAUCAAAUUGUAAUACGCUGCAAAAUCAGGGGGACUGCACGCGCAAAUAGCCCAAAAACUGAAAACACGCGGAUCCUCCGGGUCGGGUCGGGUCGGGUCAGGUCGACGUGCGGAUCCCCUUUGCUAAAACGGCGUCGUUUCAUGUUUAAUAUAAAUACUAAAAAAAGCUAAAAAAAACAGUUUCAUCUUUUUUUAAAAAAAACAGAGAGAAAACUCUCUCUUUUUCCCUCAGGUCCGGCCAUGGUCCGGCUUGGGAUUUCCGACGAGUCUCCGCCGCAAAGCCACCGUGUGUGGCGGCCGGAGGUUCAAAAUCAGACCUUUUUGGUCCUUUUUUAAAGUCCAUGGCCUCCAAGCCACAGAUCCGGGGCUGAAUCUCCUGAAUCGAAAGCCGAAGACCCAAAAAAUGGGGUGAAAUCCUUCGCCUUCCUCCCCCUUCCGGCGCUGCGCAGGUAAGGUUUUUUUUAACUCCUUUUUUACUAUCUUUAUUUAUAUAUAUACAUGAAGAGAAAAGAGAGCAAAAUAAAUAAAUAAAUAAAAACUUCAAAACUGAAGAGAAAAAGACCUUGAAUCUGCCUUAUUUAUUUUCUUUCGGUUGAAUCUGUUUUUGUUUGUUACAAAAGUUUCCAGGGAAGAGAAAAAAAAAGAGAGUUACAUGCUUGGCUUUUAUAGCCGAUAUUAAUUUCUAUUUUUUGUUUUCUUUUUCCUUUCUUUUCUUUGGCUGUUGCGUGUUUGCUUCCUUAUUGCAGGGUGAUUGACGGGAGUGGUUGGCGACAGAGUCGGUGGCCACUUGCACUGAUGAAGCAGCGGUGGCGGCGCUAGGGUAGGCUAGGGACGGCGGCAGUACUAGGGUUUCAGAAAACUGAAACCCUAGUUUGACAAAUUGGUUUCGGGCCUGUUGGGCUUUAAAUUAUGGGCUUUGUAAUUGGGUUUUGGGUUUAGGUGAUUUGGGUUUAGGUGGUAUGGGCCCGGGUCAAAUUUUGGGUAAUGGGAUUGGGGCAAAAUUGGGUUGUACAGUUAUAAUAUCCCAAACGAAAUCAAACUAUAAACAUUAAAUUUUUCGAGUCUUCUAGAUACUGUAAAAAAUUCAGCUCCAACGGACACCAAAUGAACCUAUGAUCGAAGAAAAUACGAAGACUAGUCUGGCUAAAUCAAUCUGCCAAACUUACUUUUUAUCUUAUCUUUAAUUUGCUGUGAAAUUCAAAACUACGUGUAAUACUCAAUUUAUGCUCGACCCAUUUUGUUAAAACAAAUAAAAAAGAAAAGAAAAACAAAAUAUUUAAAUUUAGCCCAAAUGUCCAUUUACACAGCCCAAUUACAAUUGCAAAUAAAAAAAACUAAAACUAAACCCGAUCCUAAGCAUCAGCCCAAAUUCGACCCAUGCCCAAAACGAAUUCAGAUGCAGAAACCCUAGCCCAGCCUUAAUGCAAGCAAAAGUCGAAAGCCCUAAUAGUUGGUGCGCCGCUCCUGUAACAGCCCGAUUUUGGGCCUAGUCGGAACAGUGGUUUUGGGACCACAAAUCCGACGAGAAAAAAAUGUAAUGGCCCGAAUUUUCAGAGGUGUCAGAACGGUGAUUCGAGAUCACUAAAUUCGACAAAUGGGUAGAAAAUAUUAUUAAUUUAGUAAGUAUAAGUUAAAUGUGAAGUUAGGAAAAUUUUUGAAAUGGUGAAUAGUACACUAGAAAUAAAUAUUAAAAUAAUUAGAAUCGAAAAUGAGGUAUCGAGACCUCGGGGAUUUUAAACCGAGCCAUAAAUAUUUUUAUAAAUAUUUAUGUAGUCUUAAAAAGUUAGUAUUAAAGUUUCGUUAAGAAAUUUUAAAGUUCCGAUAAUUAAUUGAACAAAAAGGACUAAAUUGUAACAAAUACAAAAUUAUGAGAAAUGAUUAAAUAGUUUAAAUGAUAAAAGGAAGAGGGCUUAAAAGGUAAAUAGACCCAAGGUCUAUUUGGGCUGCACGGCAAAGGCAUGAAAUCAGCAACAAAGUAAGGAGAAUUAAGGGCAAAAUUGGAAUAUUGCAAAAUUUACUUAAUAAAGUUAGGACCAAAGUGGAAUUAUCUAGAUUUCUCUUUAUUUUUCUGCAUUAUCAUCAGCAUAAACACCAUAGAAGGGUUUUCUUAAGCUGGUUCUUCCUAUUUUUACUGCAGGUAAGUUCAAUUCUUGAUUAUUUCUUGAAAAUUUUGUGUUUUUGUGACUUUUACAACUAGGCCCACUUAUUGUAUUCAUUAGUUUUUGAUUCUAUGAAAGAAGUUGAAAGUUGCUAUGAAUACAUGCUGGAAGUAUAUGAUGAUUUAGCAUGGAAUUAGAGCUUUAAAUUGUUCAUAUGCUGAUUUAUUGAAAGAAUUGAAUAGAAAGUGAAUGUUUGGGACCUAAUAGUAAAAGAGUUUGAAGAUAGAGUUAUAUGUGGAAAUUCUGAAUUUCAAUAGUUGUGAAACAACUUAUAAUGUCUAGGUUAAGUAUUAAUUGAGAAAAUUAAAUUAAUUGAGGGGUUAAUUGAGAAAGGACCGAAUUGUAUAAACUGUGAAAUUUGGGGCAAAAAGGAAAUCAACAUUUUACACUAAAGCAGUUUUGGACAGCAGCAGUAGUAUAACUUUGAAAAAUCACCAAAAAUUUUGAGAAUUGAAUUAGAGGGUGAAUAAAAUAUAAAAUUAAAGCUCCUUGAAUCUAGUUUCUCAUAGAAGAAACGGUGUAAGCAAUGGAAUUGUAAAUCAUGAGAUAUAAUAAAUUUUGUGAGACAAUGUCAUAAUGAUUUCGGGUUCCCCUAUUCUGACUUUGGAAAAUCAUCAAAAAAUUAAGAAAAAUAUGAGUUAUAAUUUAUAUGAUUACAAUCCUUAAUGAGUCUAUUUUCAAAGAAAAUAAACGGAAAUAUCAUCCAAAUUCUGUACAAUUAUAUAAUUCAUUUUUAGUGAAGAGUGGUCGAAACUGUCAGACAGCGAAAUAGGGGGAACUUUAAAGAAUAAACUGUACUAUUUGGCUGAACCAAAAAUUCUGAAAAUUUUAUGGUAAGAAGGUAUGUGAGUCUAGUUUUAAGGAAAAUUAACGGAUCUUAAUUUAGAGCUCUGUAGCUCUAGAUAAAAAUAAUUUAGUGACUCUGACUCAGAUAAAUAGCUUUGAAUGUACAUGUGAGUGAAUAGUGAAAUUAUAGCUAGUGUUGUUUAAGUGUGUUAUACACAUUAAGGAUAUGGAAUGGAGAGGAGGAGGAGGAGGAAAAAUUGGGAAAUAUAUGAAUGAUUUGUGUAUAAUUGGUCAUAUGCUUAAUUAUAAUUGAUAAACGAUGAAAUAGAAAUGAUGCAUAUAUUUGUGCAGUAUUGGUCAUGGUUUAAGCUCAUGUGGGAAAAUAAAGUUUAUAGUACGUGUGUAUUAUAUUUUUGGUAUAUGAUUUGGCAUUAAGUAAUGUCGUGAAUGGAUAUUGAAUUAACACAUGUUGGAAAGUUUGAUAUAUGAAUAAAUAUUGUGAUCAUGAAAGAGUGUUACAGCUCCUGCCUUCAGCACGCGUCGAGCCUCCGCGCCAAAUCCACGUGAGCCUCCGUACACUCCAACUAGCCUCCGUACCUGCAACAAACAAAAGUAGACAAAACAACAGCAAAGGAUAGGAAGAAAAGGCAGUAAAUAGUGAAGAUUUUUCUGUAAUUUUCUUUGGAUUUCAUUAUGUAUUUUCGGCUAUAAAAGAGCCAUUAGGAAUAUUUGUAAAGGGUUUUUUUUUUACCCUCACACACAAAGAGAAUAUACACGCAUACAAGAUCAAUAUAGAGAAAGAAAUAAAAAUAAAUAAAUACAAAGAAUAGAAAAUCAAGUUUCGAAGGUGAUUCUUUGAAAAAUCCUUUUCGUUUUUCUCAUUUUUCCUUUUUCCUGGAUCUUUUGUUCAUUUCAAGUAAAAAAAGUAUAGAAAGGAAACAAGUUUAGAGGAAGGAGGUUUACCUGGACGCCGGACCUCGCUCGCCUCGUCGAAAUCGAAGGCUGAGAGGGGAUAAAUCGGUUUUGCGGCAGAAGGAAAGGGGGGCUAGGGUUCUUGUUUUAACUUUUUUAAAAAAAAUAGAAAAGGUUGCUAAUUAGGUUUUAAUGGGGGAUUUAUGUGUGUUAAAAAAACGACGUCGUUUAGCGACCUUUGACCCGUGCGGUGACCCGACCCGAGGAAAGGAUCUGCGCGUUUUGGGUCUGAUGGGUUUAUUGCGCAACAAGCCCUUCCGCAUUUGUUUUUCGUUUCAAUUCGGUUUUUAUUUGUUUUUUAAUUGUUUUCUCAUAUUUAGUUCCAAUUUCAAUUGGGUCCAUGAUUAAACGACAUCGUUUUCAUUGAUUGGGUUUGAAGGCCUGGUUUUGUGCGUCUAAAUUGCAGCAAUGGUCCCCCUGAUGUGCAAUAGUUCUCGAUUUAGUCGUCUCCACACUUAUUUCAAAGUCGUCCUUGAGAUUUUGUUUUAUUUUUGAAAUUGUCCUUGUCUUCUUUUAAUUUAUAAUGAUAUUAUUAUUAUUGUUGUUGUUAUUAUUACUAUUAAUAUGGGUAUUGUUAUCAUGUUAGUUUAUAUCUAUUUAUUUACUUUUAUUUUAUUAUGUAUUAUUAUAUAAUGCUUUUAUCAUGUAUCAUUUUAUAUAUUUUCUAUGUUAAUCUAAUAUGAUAUAUAUAUAUAUAUGUAUUUUUGUGAUCUUAUUUUAUAAUACUUUUUUAACCCAUUUAUAUGCCUUUAUGUUUUAAAGAUUUAUAAUAUUUUGUGCAAAACUAUUAUAUAUAUAUAUAGAUAUACAAUUUAUAUUAGACCAUUUUUAUCGUACAUAUACGUAUAUAUAAUUUAUAUUUUGAAACUCUAUUUUAUUAUAUUUUAUGCCUCUAUAUACAUCAUUAUAUGUUUAUUAUUCUUUAUAUUAAACCUGCCAUUUCACUUAUAUAUUUUUAAAACCAAUGUGUAUUAUUCUUUCUUCUUUGUUAUUUUUUAUCUCUUAAAAUAGAUUGAUAAUUCAUUUAAUUUUUGAAUGUUGUAUGACCGAGAUUAUCGUUGCCAUUCUUGUCCAAAUUUAUCCAUUGCUUGUUCAUAUUAUUUGAUAAUUUAUCGCUCACUAGCAUGUAUCGUAAUUUACGAAUUAUCAUUUUGAAUUAUGUACUACCAUUCAAUCGCAUUACAUUUGUUUGGAAAACAUCGAAAUCGUUUUGCACAUAAACCUUCAAAAUGCUUGGUAUCCAAAAUUCUCGAGAGGAUUGUGCCCUAAUUUAUUGGGCUUCAAUUCCCCUUUUUGAUUUUAAAUAACCGAAUACCCCUUUUUCAAUUUGAACAUAGAAAUUCCAAAAUAAAAAAAAACUCAUUCUCGGGAAUUUGAUGCGUUGUGUCCUAACGUAUUGUAUAUGACAUAUUUUUCUCGAGACGAGGAUUUUUCUAACAAAUAAAAAUAAAGGCAAUAUUCGAUAUUUAGGAAUUUUGUGAAAUCGAACCCUAACUUACUGGGUUUUGAUUUUUUCAUUUGACCCAAGUAGGAUAUCCUUCACAAAUGCACAGAUUUUAAAAAAUCAAAAGAUAAACUUAAUUUCGAGGAUUUAAAAUGUUACACUCUGACUUACUGAGUGUGUCAAUUUAUUUCUUUGAAAUAAGUGAGUCUUAUCAUCCAAUUUAUUUUAUUCAAAUUUUCUUUUCCAAGGAUCGUAUUUUAAAAUUUUUUCAAAAUUUCGACAUUAAGACAUUAAGCAAUCAAUUCAGUACCAAUUUUGGGCGUCACGAGGGUGCUAACUCUUCCUCGUGCGUAAUCGACUCCCGAACCAGUUUUCUCAAAAUUCACAGACCUAAAAUUAUUUUCAAGGUGAUCCGAUCACACCACAAUAAAAGAUCAGUGGUGACUCCCAUUCCUAUUUUUAAAAGUCGAUUCCUGUUUUUCAUAUAUAAAAAAAUGGUUUCGACACUACGGUUUUGUUUGUUUCCCUUAGAACAACUUUCAAAAAGUUAAUUUUGAAAAAUGGAUUGAAUUUUCAAAAUAGAUGAUAUUUUUUUGUGUUAAAAUUUUAUUCGUUGUUUGAAAAAAAAAUUUAAAUCAUUUUCUUAGAAUUAUUUUUAGUGAAACAAAUAUAUCAUAAAUAUAUUUGUUAUAAAAUAUUAUAUUAAUAUUUUCUUUUAACAAUUAAAAUAUAUUUUGUGAUAAGGUAAUAUUUUAUAAUAAUUAAUAUCAUAUAUACUUAAUAAUAAAUCAUGUCUAAUUAAAAUUUAAUUUCAAUUAAAUAUAUUAAUAAAGCUACAUUUAAUCAUAUUUUAUAUAAUUAAAAUAUUAAUAUAAAUAUUUUUCAAUAAUAUAUUAAAGAAUAUUUAAAAUUUAAAUUUAUUAUUACUAAGAUUAAUUAUUAAAACAAAAAUGUAAUAUUAAAUAAUUUAUCCAAUGAUAAGUUAUAUUAAUAAUUUAUUAUAUUAUUAAAUAUAAAUAAUUAAAUAUGUAUGUUUAAUAAUAUUAUGUUAUAAUAUUUAUUACUAAUAUUUUAAUAUUUUUAAACAACCAUGUUUUAAAGAUGGUGGUGAUGGUGAUGGUGCAGGCCCCCUUGUUAAAAUUACAAUAUUUUUAAGUGGGAUGCAUGUAAUAUAUUGUUAGGGUUUUAGAGUAUGUGGUCUUUAAAAGGGUUAAAUUAUAUAUUUAUAUAAUAUGAUUAUUGUUUAUAAACAUAAUAUUGUAGAUAAGUUUAUAUGUAUGUCAAUAUGUAUCCUACUCUAAGGUUAAUAUGUAUUUUUUAGAUGUGGGUUUACCUAUAUAAUAGUAUGAAUCCAUCAUGUGGUCUCAUGAAAUAUACAAACACAUAUCGUGCGAACACAAAGUACGAACAAUAAAAAAUACAAAUCAAGACCCAAUUGAAUAAUUGAAUAACGGAUAGGUAAUAAUGAAUAUCAUAACAUUUACUAUCCCCUCUUUUCUAGUGAGUUAUUGUUUAUGAUAAAUUUGCAACAAAUGUUUUUAUCAUUAUUUUGUUGGUAAAUGAUAAUAAGAUUAAACAUUACUUUCUUAAGCUCCUUCAAUUCUUUGGACGUUAGCGAGUAAACUUGAGCUUCAGCAUUCCACAAACACCUUAAUUUGAAGACACAGUUCUCUCAUACUAAAAACGACAUGGACGUUUACCUUGUAAUUAGAGAUUUGGGCUCAUUGUUGGGUUAUUAAUGAUACGGGGAUGGAGAGCUUUAAACUGGGUAUGGUUGGCCCCAAAGAGGCUCGAAACGUGCUUGAGACUAGAGGUGAUCAAGGGCCGGGUUAGGCCCAGUCUAGAAAAAAAAUUAGGCCCAUUUUUUAGAUUUGAACUCGGCUCGGCUCAAAAUAUAAGCUUAAAAAUUUGUCUAAGUUCAGUCCGAAAGAAAAUUGUUAAGCCCAAGCUCGACCCAUAUUAAAUUUUACAACACCAAAAAAGUAUAUUUAAAUAAAAAUAAAAUAUAUAUAUUUAAUAUAUAAUUCGGGCCGAGCUGAACUCGGGCCAAAAAAGUUUUACUCGGGGCUGGUCCGUUUUCUAAACAGACUUCGUUUUUUUUGCCAAAAUCCAUAUUUUUACCCGAAUCUUCCUAUUUUUUGGGGUGUGCCGUCGGGCCGAACUGGGUAACCGAACCAAUGAUCACCUCUGUAAUCACUGAAUUUUGUCCGGGAAUAACUUUCGUUAAAAAAAUUUUAAAAUUAAAAAAAAAUUAACUUUUUUGCUUUUUGACCCCUAAACUUUUCUAAAAUUUCAUUUUAACCCCUAAACUUUCUCAAAAUUACAGUUCAACCCCUAAACUUUUCUAAAUUACAUUUUGACCCCUAAAAUUUCUUAAAAUUACAUUUGGACCCUUACACUUUCUCAAAAUUACGUUUCGGCCCCAAAAUUUUUGCUACAUUUACAAAUUGGUCCUUCUGUCAGAAAAUCCCCAAUAAUCCGGCGGAUUUCGUGCACCUGCCCCACUAUUUCCGGCAGCCGGCCUAGGGCAUGGCCUUCCCCACCUGCUACCUGCAAACAAGAAGCAAAAUCAACUAUAAAAAGGAGUUUAAACUCCAAAAAUCGGACCCCCACCCACGAAAAAAAUAAAAAAAAAAAACUUGAAAGAAAAAGAAAAAAGCUUUGAGAAAGAAAAAGAAAAGGAAAAGAAGAGAGGGGAGAAGGAGAGGCCGACCAUCGGCGAGCCACCGGAGGAGGCGACGGCAGCAGCGGCAUCGACGGCGGCGUAGAAGACCGAACGGAGAAGAAGAAGAAGAAGAAAAAAAAAGAAAGAAGAGAAAGAAAGAAGGAAGAAGAAGAAGAAAGAAACAAAAAAAAAAGAAAAUAUUUUGUAAUAGUCGGCCCGGCCCGACUCGACCUGCACGACCCGUGACCCGACCCGACAGCACCAGCAACCUAGCAGGCCACGGUAGCAGCCCGGCGGCCCAAAGAGUAGCCCAAAAAGAAAAAAAGAAGAAGAACAAAGCAAAAAAAAAAAGCAGGCCAUUUUCAGCAGGCCCAGUGCAGCCCAGCAGACCCAGCGAACCCAGCAGGCCAGGCCCACACGCAAGCAGCCCAACAGAAAAAAAGGGAAAGAAAAAGAAAAGAAAAAAGAAAAAAGAAAAAAGAAGAAGAAGGGGUUCAAUUUGUAUUAUCCGUUCGGCGAAGCUCGUGUUUUGAGGAUUUUUUUUCGGUAAUUUUAUUUUUUAAUUUUAAUUUAAUGCUCGUAUUUUUUUUAAAUAUUAUUAGUAUUUUAUGCAUUUUUAUAUUUUGGCAUUUAUAUUUUUAAUUUAAUUUACUUCAAUUUUUAUUUUAUUUUAUUUUAAAUAAUUUUAAUAAAUGAGGCAACGAAUCGAUUUAACAUAAAAUCGUUGAUUUCAUUGCUAUGUUGGGUGAAUAUCAUCGGUUUGUGUUAAACACGAUACACCCUUUUUAAAAAAAAGAAAAAAAUCGAAAAAAUUCUAAAAUUCUCAUUUUUUUAAAAUUCUCGUGUUUUAAUAGAAUCACGAUUAAAUAUUAAGUUGAAUCGAUUUGGCACUAAUUCGAUGAUUUCAUCUCCAUGUAGGGAUGAAUAUCAUUUAUUCGUGUUAAAUAUGGUACUUCUGAAAAAAAAUCGGGUUUCAAAAAUUUUCGUGUUUUCAAAAAUUCUCAUGUUUCAAAAAUCUUCGUGUUUUAAAAAUUCCAGUGUUUCAAAAAUUUUCGUGUUUUCAAAAAAAAAUUUCUCGUGUUUUUAAAAAUUCCCGUAUAUCGAAAUUUUCUUGUUUUCAAAAAAAAAAUUCCAUGUUUCAUAAAUUUCCGUGUUUUCAAAAAAAAAUUCUUGUUUUUCAAAAAUUUUCGUUUUUAAAAAAUUUGACCGUGUUUCAUAAAUUUUCGUAUUUCAAAAAAACCUCGUGUUUCAAAAUUUUCGGGUUUUUUUAAAAACAAUUCGUGUUUCUAAAAUUCUCGUAUUUUAAAAAAAAUCGUGUUUUCAAAAAAAGAAAAAGUUGUUGUGCUUUAAAAUUAUCGUGUUUCAAUCGGAUCACGAUUAAUAUUAAAUUGAACUCGUAUUUUUGAAAAUGAAAACAACGCGCGUUUAACGAGAUACCAAUUUUGGGCGUCGCGAGGGUGCUAAUACCUUCCUCGCGCGUAACCGACUCCCGAACCUUAAUUUUCUCUGAAUUUUUACGUGGACCUAAAAUUACCUCUUUUUAGAAAAGUUUAAAAAUGAAUUUUUCUUCUAAAAAGAGAAUUUUGUAGGUGUCCGAUCACACCUAAAAAAAGAUCGGUGGCGACUCCUUUUUUUCAAAUAAAAUCGAGAUUCAGUUUUCAAGUUUUUAAUAAUUACUUCGACAAGCGCCCGUGCGCAAAAUUUUUAAGUCGCUACAGCCUCUACUUGAGACAACAGGGUUUUGCAGGGAAUUCUUACAGGUUCGUUUCUGGCGACAAAAAAGAGCUCUUCACUAUAAGCAUACAAACAAGAGCCAAAACUAUGCCUCUUAGUGAUGAUAUUAGGCCUUAUGUUAUUCCUUUUCAACAUCAAACCGUCAACCGGUAUGGUAUGUUUUUUUUAUUUAAUCUGCAAUUUGUGAUAAUUCUUUGUUAUUUAUGUAUGGAAUUUAUUGGGAGGAAAUGCUGGAAAGAAUUCAUUUACGAGAAUUGGUCCAAGAUCAAGGGUGAACAUUACGGACCCUGAAAAAUAAGAGAAAUACUUAACAAAUUUAAUGACUUCCAGAAGAUACGUACCAAUCCACUGCUUAAUUUGCUUGUAAGCGGCCUUGUUAACCUCGAAGGAGACCGAUGGAGCAAGCAUAGAAAAAUCAUAACCCUUGCAUUUCAUCAAGAUAAGUUGAAGGUAUAGAAUAGUAAUGGGUACUCAAGACUUUAAAGAAAACAUCAUACUUAAGCCUAUGCUUUUCUGAUUUAGAAAUAAUUGGAUGCAGAAUAUGUUGCCAGCAUUUUAUCAAAGUUGUAGUGACAUGUUUAAGCAAAUGGGAGAAGAUGGUGUGUACAGAAGGAUACAUUGAGUUAGAUGUGUCGCCUUAUCUCGUAGAUUUGACAAGAGAUGUUAUUUCCCGAUCUGCUUUUGGAAGCAGCUUCGAAGAAGGCAAACGAAUUUUCCAAUUACUAGAGGACCAACUCGUUCUCACAAUCAAAUUAAUACAAACUGUUUACAUUCCAGGAUGGAGGUAACCGUCUACUUUAAUUUACUUGAAAAAGGUUGCAAAUGUUGGAAUUGGCUAAAUUCGUGUUUGUUUUCUUGAAGGUUUUUGCCCACAAAGACAAACAGGGAGGUGAAGAUGAAACACAAAGACAUAAAAGAGUCGCUCAGGGAAAUGAUAAAAAGAAGAAAGCAGGCAAUUAAAGCAGGGGAAGAGAGUAAUGAGGACUUGUUGGACAUACUUGUGGAAUCCAAUAUCAGAGAAAUGGAAGCAAAGAAUAUGGGGAUGAGCAUUGAGGAUGUGAUUGAGGAAUGCAAGCUGUUUUACUUAGCUGGCCAGGAGACCACUUCGGUCUUACUGGUGUGGACUAUGGUUUUAUUAGCAAGGUAUCCCGAUUGGCAAAGUAAAGCAAGAGAGGAGGUUUUGCAUGUUUUGGGUGACAGUAAACCUGAUGCUGAUGGCCUUAAUCGUCUCAAAGUUGUAAGUCCCUAGCAUGUCUCUUGAAGGCCCGAUCUCUGAGGUCGACAACUCAAAAACUUGGUUCUUUGUUUCGCUAAUUCUACAGUUAACAAUGAUAUUGUACGAGGUUCUAAGGCUGUACCCACCAGUGAUUGAGCUAGGACGUUCCGUUCCAAAAGAAAUAAAACUGGGAAAUUUGUUGUUACCAGCAGGAACAGACGUUUCGGUUCCAAUCCUGCAGAUCCACCAUGACAAAGAUCUUUGGGGCGACGCCGCACGGGAAUUUAAGCCACAGCGGUUCACGGAAGGGGUUUCCUAAGCAACAAAGAGUCAAGUCACGUUUCUGCCAUUCGGAUGGGGUCCUAGGAUCUGCAUUGGCCAAAACUUUGCCAUGAUGGAAGCUAAAAUGGCGAUGGCUAUGAUUCUCCAACGCUUCUGGUUUGAGCUUUCCCCUUCCUAUGCUUACUCUCCUUACAACAUGGCAACUCUUCGUCCACAGCAUGGUGCACAGAUAAUUUUACAUAAACUUGGCUGUAAUUGAAUUGUUAUGUAAGCAAAUCUUUGUGAAAAUAUAGUGUUUUAGUGUAUCGUCAACGUCUGUCUGUAAUGGUACAAUUCCGAUGCAUGAAUAGUAAAUUUUGAGAUGUUUGGUGAAGUCCGAAAUAAUAUGCAGAAAUUGAGUGUCUAUGGUGGACAUAGUUGAGGGACUAAUGUGGUAAUUAUCAAUCAAAUAAUUCGGUACAAAGACUUAUAUGGAAAUUAAAGCAGGGGGAGUUGAAAAUGACUACUCUGCUUUGGGCAUCAAUUUAGAAAGAUUUAAAGUACAAAUGUGUUAUUAGUUAAGGGAUUUGUUUUAAAGAGGGAAUGACAAUUAAACCUCAUGGUUGAUUUGUGGAAGGGAACCAAUGAUGGGAUGAUUACUCUUAGUGGUGAAAAAAAAACUAUUAAGGUGGUUAUUAUAGUUGUUAUCACCAGCCUAAAAUUUGAAUAGGUUCAGGUCGGAUUAUAUUGAGCUUGCAAGAUUAGUUCACGGACCAAACUUGCAUGAUAAUAGGUAUUCACAACAAGAUAUCUAUAGUUUCCAACAAAGUCACAUGUGAGAUCGUGCAUUAGAACCGCAUAAACAUGUUUUAUGUUUAGAAUAUGAUAUGUGUCUAUGUGUAUAGAAUCUACCUAAUAUAUCAUAUUAAUGAAUAGUAUCAAUUGCGGAGCCAAAAAAUUAUUUGUGAGGGGUCAGAAUUAAAUUGUAUAUUUUUACAAAAAUAAAAAUUAAAUUUCACUAUUUUAAUAGUUUAUUUAUUUUUAAUUUUUAAAUGAUUAAAUUAAAUUUUAUAAAUUUUUAGGAUCAAAGUAUAAUUUUAUCAUUACUAAUUUAAAAUUUUAUAAAUUAUAAAAAGUUUAUAUGAAAAGUUUUCUAUUUUAGGGUGGCCAAAGCCCCUGUCAACUUCUGACUCGAUCACUUGCGGUUAGUUGGGUAAAGACUCAAGAAAAAUAGCGGUGUGUUUGGAUGGACGGUGCGUUUACUUGCGGUUAGUGUAAAAAUAGCGGUGGCGGUGAGAUUAGAUACUAUAGCAACACUGUAGCGUGAGACAAAAAGUAAGUUAAACGCACUGCACUGCACUUAAUCGUCUAUCUAAACUCACCAUAAGUGUCUAAAAUAUGAUUUAAGUGAAGAUACGUGGGGUAGGUGUCAUGGAAAUGUAAAAAAAAAAAAGAAUCCUACUAAUGUAUGGGAUGUGUACAAUUGAAUGCAGGAGUGAAUCAUUUGGGUAACAUUUGGACAAGAAACAUAAUGAACAAAAUGAAAGGAGAGGAAGCUAGUAAUAAAAGAUUCUUUUGGGUUAUAUAAUUUGUUUGGCAUAUAUUUUUAUAAUAUUUAAAUAUCAUUUUGGAGUUGUUGAAUUAUAAUUUAUUUUUAUGUUUUAAAACAUAAUUAUUCUAUUUUUAGAGGUCAGAGUAGAGGUGAGCAUGAGUCGGGCUACUCGGCUCGGGCUGAAGGCUUGCGCAAAAUGUGAGAGAUUUGGGUAAAAAUAUAGGCCCGAAAAAUGAGUUUAGACAAAAAAAAAUAUAAGGCCCGUUGAAAAAACAGGCUAGGCCUUGGGUAAGGCAUUUUGGCCCCAGACCCGGCCCAACCCAAAUUCACUAAGGGCACGUUUGGUUCGCUGUAUUGGAAUAGAGGCGUAAUGUAAUAGAGGCGUAAUGGAAUAGAGACGUAAUAGCAAAUCAAUUGUUUGGUUGAAUGUAAUGGAAUAGAGGCGUAAUAGUAUUCUUAUAUUUGGUUGAAUGGAAUAGAGUUGUAAUAGCAUAAGGAAAAAAGUUAAAAUGACUAGAAUACCCUUAGCAGAAAUUUGUUUAGAUAAAUGAUUAUUGUUAUUGUUAUUAAAUUUUAAUAAGAUUAUUAAUAUCAGUAAUAAAUAAUUUAAUCAUAUUUUAACAUAAUUAUUAUUAAAUAUAAUUUAAUAAAAAUAUAUAAUUUAAUAAAAUUCUUAAUAUUAAAUAUUCUUAAUAUUAAAUUACUAAAAUCAUAAUAUAUAAUACUAUAAAAUAUAAUUUAACAUAAUUAUUAUUAAAUAUAAUUUAAUAAAAUUCUCAAUAUUAAAUAUAUUCUUAUAUGAAUUUACUAAAAUCAUAAUAUAUAAUACUAUAAAAUAUAAUUUAAAAUAAUUAUUAUUAAAUAUAAUUUAAUAAAAAUAUAUAAUUUAAUCUAAAGUUUGAAUGUGUAUUUACCUAGCAAAAAUCAAUGAACUCUCGUGUAACUAUAACCUUAAUAAUAUAUGAUGUAUAAUUAAUAUUUCGUGACUAAUUAAUAGCAUAGAGAUAAAUAUAGUAAUGACGAAUUUAUAGUAUACGAUUAAAAUGCUAAUAAUUUAUAGUAUACAAUUAAAAUAUUAUAAAUAAAAUAAUAGUAAAUGAUAUAUAAGAUAAAUUAACAUAUAAAUAAUUCAGAUAUGUAAAGGAUAUGGCUGAAUAUGGUUGCUCCAAUAAUAAAGGAUAUAUAAUAUAUCAUGGUGUUGUUUUGUUUAGAUAGUUCGGUAACUUAGGAGGGUAUGUAUGAAGAACACAAGUUGAUGCAGAUAGAAAGACGACAAUAUUACAUGAUUACAAUAUGAUAUAGUAUAUAUAUAUAAUUUAUGGAUUCCUUGCAAUCACGUGGGUUCUCUAGCCAUUUUAUUUAGCAUAUCCAGUGAUAUUAAGAUCCAGAAUUAUAAUACAACUAAAAUCUGUGCACACUUAUGGAUGAUCCAACAAAGCCUCAGUUGGCUUUAGGUUCCAAAUCUUGCAACCCACAAACCAUAUUUGCUGGCACUGCAACAUCAAUCAUCUUAGGAUAUGCCAAGUUAAGAUCUGUUGCACCAACAAAAACAGAGGAGAAAUUGGAAGGCGAUCCGAAAAAACCCAAGGAUGCUUUUUCUUUUCUUUUUUUUUUAUAAUCUUUAUAGACUGGUUAUAUUGAGCAUCAACUUACUUUCCAUGAUGUUUUUGAAAGUCUCUUACAAAAAGGGUAUUCAACAAAUAAUAUAAUCAGACAUAUUGAUAGGACAAAUUGAAACUAGUAUUCUAUGAUCAUAAUAAAGAGUAAUCUUUAAUCAAAUGCGUGAAGGUAUUGAGAUGUCAUGCUUUUUCAUGAUUUCCUGUUUUACCAUGGCGAUGUUCAUUGGAAUAGUCCCAUCCAAGAGAAUCAAACCAAUGCUCAGCAAGAAAUGUUCAAUGCAUAUGUAAUUUUAAUUACAGAAGUUAUAUGCAGCUUAUAUGAGUUCAAGAUCAUAAAAUACUUCAUGGACAAAAGGAAACCCUUUCUUAUCACUGAAAUGAAAAUAGGCACUCUUAAUUUUCUAUUGUCAAAAGUAGCAAGCCAUUUUCCAAAGAAAAGGGAAGAUGGAUGGUUCCAGAAAGAAUACCUCAUCCUUUGUCAAGUGUGGAUUAUAUAGCAUCUCCUCUCCCACAGUGGUUACCUAUAAUCAAUGAGGUUUAUAAAAUCGAGCAAUCAUUUAUAUAUGUAAGAAAUGAUAGGAAUAAAGUUUUAUAUCUUACUGAGAAUCCUUUGUAGUCAUGAGCUGGAUAUAGCAAUGUCUCUUUCGGUAAUGUAAAAAUCUGGAUCCAUGAAACAAAUAAGUCCAUAAAUUUUAUUCAAAUUUUGACAAUUACAAUAAAAUUUUGAGAACUCAAAGAAUGUGACCAUAAAAAGUCCCCUGUCCUUACCUGUGAAUGCACUGACUUGUAGAGUUGCUGUGAACUUCCACCCUGCAAAAUGCAUUAAUCAGUGCUAGUCAAUGGCUACUGAAUGUGGGAGCAUUAGAGAAAAUUAUCUUAAAAACUUAAGUAUAACAAAAUUAGACAAUGACAUCCAGAUGGAAAGAAAUUGCCAGCAUAUAAGACCAGCAUUUAUGUACUCACGACUGAAAAUCCUUUGCAAAAAGUAUAGCCCUGAUAGUUCAAACUUUUACUUCAAGGAUGAUUUAAUUACUGAUUAGUUUGCCAUGAGGCUUGUGAAUGACAAACACUUUAUGUGCAACCACAGUAACAAGGUAAGCACCAAUAAGUAGAAGACUAGACGAAUAGGUAACCAAGAGUUAGAGCUAAAACAGACAAACAGAGCUACUAUCCAAUGAGCUAAAACAUACAAACAGAGGUAUAUUUUAAUAAUGAAAAUAAUCGAUUGCCUUAAACACCAUAUAGUGUUCCAAUCAAUCAAAUUAUAGCAGGCAUUAAAACCUUUCCCUUUCGUUAAUUCACAACUAUUAGCUUCAUUAAUCAAAUCCUAUGUACAGUUGAUCGAUUGAAAGUGUAACAUUUCAAAGACGAAAUUUAAACGCAAAACUGGUUAACAUUGAAAUUACAUGUAAAUAUAACCUAAAAAAUCAAAAAAUUAAUCAUAUUUUCAGAUUUCAGGCCGAAAUGGAAUGAAAUGAAAGGUAAAUCCAUUUUUUCCCCAAAAAAACAAAAAUAAAGAAAUAAUAUUUCAAGAACAGAUCAUUAAAUUCAUGGUAUAUAUAAAGAAAUUUAAUUGAAAUCAAAGGAAUAGAAGAAGGGAAAAGCGUACUUGGAACCAUUGCUGCUACUCUCUGUUACUCUGUUACCUCAUACGAUUCGUUAAAGGGUUGUUAGGGUUUGUUAAAAGGUUGGUCAGGAUAGAAGCAUGAAAAGGAGGGAGAAGGUUGGAAGGAAAUGGGAAGAAAAAUGAAAAAAAGAAGAAGAUGCUGCAACGGCUUGGAGGGUAAAAGAGGACCGAUUAGGUAAUCCUUUCUUUUGGAAGGGAUUACAAAUCGGCGCUGCAUAAGGGAAAAUGGGGAAUCAGUGCGCUGCGUAAUAGGCCCGUAUUAAGGCAAUACAGCCAACCAAACAUGGUAAUCAGUGGGGCCACGAAUUAGGGGUGUAUUGGCUAAUCCAAUACACCCAACCAAACAUGCUCUAAAGGACAAAAAAAUUUGAUUUUUUAAAUAUUAUUUUCUCUCUAUUUUGCUAUCAUUUUACUAUUAUGUUGCUACUAUGUUAUUGUUAUUUUUGAAUAUUGUAUAAAACUUAUUUUAUUGUUAAUUUUGUUAUUAUUUUAAAGACAUUUGUUAAUUUUGUUAUUAUUUUAGAGACAUUUGUUUGUUAAGUUGCAUCUAUCUUAGUGUUAUUUAAGUAUACAUAUUUUUUAAAAUUUAUUUUCAAUUUAUUGGGAAAUAUUUAUUUUGAUGUUUUUAGUAUUUUGGAUGUAUUAUAUAUAUUAAAAUUAUAUAAAAAUUAAUAUGGCCGAGCCAGGUCAGGCCCAGAUUUUAGCAUUUUUAUUCAGGUCGGGCUUGAGCAAAAUUUUAAGCCCAUUUUUUGGGCCAAACCAGGCCUGGGCUUAGCAAAUGGGCCUAAAUUUUUAGUCAAGCUCGACCUAAACCCGAUCCGGCCCAUGCUCACCUCUAGAUCAGAGCUGCCCUCGCUUUGCAUUUCUUUGAGAUUCAGUCUUAUCUACUGUUGAUUGCCCACUCAAUGGAGGGUUGAGUAGAAAGAUUUGGUGAAGCAAGCUAAGCUAUCAAUCAAGGUUGGAGAAAGCUUAGGAGGUCACAAUGCAUAAUUAUUUAAAUGUAAUUCUAAUAUUUAAAUAAAAUUUAUUAAUAUAGUAUUAACAAGCCCUAAAUGUAAUGAUUAUAUACUAUUACAUUUUUAAGAAGAGAAAACAUGUUUGAACCUUAAAAACAUCAUUAUUAAAAAUGAUAAUUACAAAUUUUAAAAUAUAAAAAAUAUAAUUAAAAAUUAAUUUUAAACCCGAGCUGGAUAAAAUUCUAAUUUUAGAUAACGAUACUAAUAAGAAAUCAAUAUUAAAAUGAAAAUGAAAAGUAAUUUAAUAUAAUUUUUGAGUCUUGGGCAAAGGCACUCAAUGAAUGCUUGGAAAGAAAUAAUGCAACUUGGUGAUAGCUUUUGUUGGAGUAAUAUGCUCUUAUUAUAGUUUUAUGUUUUUAUCUUGCAAAAACAACAUAUUGGAGUUUUCGGCAUGAUUUUUUCUUAAUACUUUACAUGAAAAAUAAUAAUGGGACUUAAAUUGCUACAAUAUUACAACACAAAGUUACAAUAAGAGCUUAUAACUCAACAAAGGCUAUCAAUAAAUAAUCUCAGGCAAGCUAAAGAGAAAUGUUGAGAAUACCACCCGAAUAGUGACUGACUUUAAAAGUUGAAAACCCGAAGCUAUAUUAUCUCAAACGAAAUCAAACCAUAAACAUUAAAAUUUUCAAGUCUACUAGUUACUGUAAAAAAUUCAGCUCCAACAGACACCAAAUGAGCCUUUGAUCGAAGAAAGUACGAAAAAUAGUCUAGGUAAACCAAGCUUCCAAACUUACUUAUCUUAUCUUUAAUUUGCAGUGAAAUUCAAAAUUAAGAUUUUGUUUAUUUCACUUGGAACAACUUUCAAAAAAUUAUUUUUGAAAAAUGAAUUGGUUUUUCGAAAUAGAUGAUAUUUUAUUGUGUCAAAAUUUUAUUCAUUGUAGGAAAACUUUUUUUAAAUCAUUUUCUUAGAGUUAUUUUUAGUUAAAUAAACAUAACAUAAAUAUAUUUGUUACAAAAAAUUAUACUAGUAUUUUCUUUUGACAAUUAAAAUUUAUUUUAUGGUAAGACAAUAUUUUAUAAUAAUUAAUAUCAUAUAUAUACGUAAUAAAAAUCAUGUUUAAUUAAAAUUUAAUUAAAAUUAGAUGUAUUAAUAAAGCUACUCCUCCACAACCCGCAUCCGCAACAGCACCAGCACCAGCACCAGCACCAGCAUCAGCACCAUGGGACAACUAUUGGGUUUCCUCCACCUGCCUCUAUCGCUCCUCCUCAGUAUUACCCCCAAGCCUACCAGACCGUGCCGGGUAUUCUACAAAUAUGAAAAAACCUUCUUCUCUUUUUAUUAGCUUAUCGAAAUGAAGGAUUUUGAGAUUUGGGCUUUUGUUAGAUGGAUGGUUAAUGAUAUUUUUUAGAUGAAAGAUACAAGUUUUUUAAUGUUUUAGAAGAAAAGGUGUUUAAAUAUUAGGAGUUUUUUAGCAGAGAAAGAAGAUAAAUAAAUGCAUAGAGAUACAUUAGCAAUAUUAUUUGGAUUUGGUUGUCUAAUGUAAUGAAGAAUUUUUUAAGGGUGACCUGAGUAGGUGUGGCAAGAUUCAAAGUUUUUUCUAUUAUAGCAGAUAUAUAUAUAUUAAUGGUUUAAGAAGACUAGAAGUCGGUUUCAAAGGAAGAUGAGAAAUAAAAGCAUUUAUAUAUAUGAUAUGUCAUUAAUUCAUAAACCAAAUAUAUAAAGUAUGUAAAAGUGUCAGGGGUUAAUCAUGGUGUUUUGACAAUCCGGUAACCUUCAACUUGAAGAAAACCUUAGGUUUCAAAAAUUUAUGUGAAGAGUUAGAAUGGUAUGCUUCAUGGAUCUGAAUAACUAGAACAGUGUAAGAGUGGUAUAUUGUGUCAAGUUUGGUUUCUUGUAUAUAAUUGUAUCGAAAACAAUGUUACAUGAGUUAAAAUGAAUGUUCAUCCAAUUUAACAAAGCCUGCAUUAUGUUGAUCAAAAUUUUUAAUUCAUGUUGAGGUUUCUUCCGUGAUAUCUUUGAUGUCAAGGUUAUGAUGUUGCUGAAGGGACACCUGUAAGAGAUAAGCCACCGUGCUGUGGCAUUGGAUUCGGAUGGUUCUUGUAAGUGUACAUAGUUUUCUUUGUUUUUAAAGAGUUCUUUACAUAUGAAGUAAAACAAGUAGCGACUUGAUGGAUAUGUCAUUAAGCUUUAACUUAAGCAAAUCAUUUUCCUUCAUCUCUAAUUGCCAUUUCUUUAAAAGAAAAAGAGGAAGUUUUGUAGUUUACAGUUUGGACAAAUGGAAGUUAAUAUAAUGCACUAUUUGGAUGGACUAUGGAGAUAUCCAAUCAUAUUGGAUGAGUUAUAAGAAACCUGUGAGUUCAUAUUGGGUUUACUUUAUAUCAUAAUUAGAUUGUUGAGCUGGCUGUCAUACUUAGAUGGUAUUUCACGUUGCUACUUGUUAAACUAUACCACUUUCACAUUCAUACGUGAAAUGGCUGGGAUUUAGUGCCAUUCUACUUAGCAGCCUCGUGUAAUACACAGGUGAAAUGUUUAUGUCUUCAUGUCACCUUAAAGUUCCCAUUUCCAUGACGGUAUUGUUAAGUAAAGACUGGUACAUACCCCAAAAUACGGAAAUUGUUUUGGAUGUAUACUAUACUUUACCAUGCAUGAUUUUUUACAAGUUUGCAUGGUAUUUUAUCAUUAUAUUGGUCUUUAUUUUCUAUACUCGCAGCUUCCAUUAAUAUAUUUUUAUGAAUUUUAUCAUUAUGCUGGUUUGAAGGUUCAUCAUUGGUUUCUUCAUUGGGGGCCAUCCCUGGUAUAUUGGAUUCUUUGUUUUACUUUGUGCAAGGAUAGACGACAGAGAGAAAGCAGGAUAUAUUGCAUGCACAAUUGCCGUGAGUAUCUUUUCUAUCAUUAUUUUUUUCUUUUCCAAUUUUAUGAAAGCCAUCCUUCCUGCCUUGUAUUGAUCAUCAAUUUAACCAUUAUAUAUAUGUAUCUUAUGUAUUUGUACCAUGCUUUAUCUUCAAUGCAAAUAUAAGUUAAACUACAAAGAUUGGAUUGUUAAAAAAAGUUUAAAAUGUUAAAAAAAUUGAAAAUUUUGAUUUUGUAAGAAUGAUAGAAAACCAAGGCCAGUGCUUGCAUAUGUUAUCUACUACAUGCACAAUCGGGUCGAUGUCUGUAUAUGUUUCAUGUUUAGAAAUCGUGUUCAAUUGGGUUACGAUAUGUACAAUUGAAGUGUCAAUUUAUAAUUUCCUUAUCAAGAUUACACAUUUUUUUGUUAAUAUUCGGAAUCACUCAAUGGUUAUAAACCCUGAUUGGAUACUGUCCACAAAGUCUAGUUGGAACAUCCCUUGUAUUCUUUGUCCUUUCUAAGAACUUUCCUUUCCAUCAUUCUCGCUUCUGUUUUUUUUUUCUUCCCUCUACUUUAAGUCAUUAUCUAACGUAGAUAUCCCUUGUAUUCUUUGUCCUUUCUAUGGCAAUCGAGUCAAUUGAUGGCAAGCCAAAAAAACAAAAAGAGCAGCUAUCCUGUCUUACUCGAUUGCCAUCCCUCCUGUUAAACACCAUUAAGAAAAGGAAAAUUUUAGUUAAGCUUUAAAACAGCCAUGUUUUAACGAUGUUGGUGAUGGUGCUUGUGCAGGCCCUUCUUGCUACAAUUACAAUUAUUCUUAGUGCAACAAUUAAAGCUGGUGGGUGAUAAAGCACACCUCUUUUGACUGAGAGAUGUAUAGGUUCCCAAAUAAUAUGUAUAUGCUCCCCCCCCUCCCUUUAUUUUAUUUUAUUUCCAGUAAGUUAUUGUUUAUGAUAAUUUGCAACAAAUGUUUUUGUCAUUAUUUUGUUGGUGAAUGAUAAUAAGAUUAAGCUUUACUUUCUUAAGCUCCAAUUCCUUGGACGUUGGUGAUUUUUUUAUUAUAGUUGAGUCAUUGUAUGGUAUUAAUAUAAUUUAUGUCGCUUAAAAUUUAUAACUAAAAAUAUAAAAUUUAAAUUUUACUUCAAUUUAUUUGUAUUUAUAAAUGGUUAAUUCAAACUUAUUUUUUUCCUCAUUAUAUUUUAUAUUUAAAUUAACAUUUAAACUAUUUUUCAUUAGCAAUGUUGUUAAGAAUUAUAUUUUUUAGCACCAACAUCAAACUUACUAAAAUUAAAUUUUUAACUAUUUAAAAAAAAUAUUUUUAGCUAUUUAUCAUCAUAGAGAAAAAAAGGUGACGUCACCACGCCUCAUGCUUCGACACCACAAACUAGACUCUCAUCACCCGUAUUUAUCAUCGAUUCAAAUUCCAGAACUACCUAAAAAUAUAUCUUCAAACUUCCUCUGGUUAAGUUCAUUGAUAGUCAACUUACUAUCAUUUCUAAAAAAAAAACAAAUAAAUUGGUUAAUAGUAAUCUCAAUGAUUCAAUUUUAUUCUUACCAGUAUCUGUCCUUUAGAAAGGGGCUUAUAAAAGGGGUAGAGGUGAGUAAACUUGAGCUUCAGCUUUCCACAAACACCUUAAUUUGAAGACACAGUUCUCUCAUACUAAAAAAGACAUGGAAGUUUACCUUGUAAUUAGAGAUUUGGUUUCAUUGCUUGUUGUUGGGUUAUUAAUGAUAUGGGGAUGCAGAACUUUAAACUGGGUAUGGCUGGCCCCAAAAAGGCUCGAAAGCUGCUUGAGACAACAGGGUUUUGCAGGGAAUCCUUACAGGUUCCUUUCUGGUGACAUAAAAGAGCUCUCAACUAUGAGCAGACAAACAAGAGCCAAACCUAUGCCUCUUAGUGAUGAUAUUGGGCCUUAUGUUGUUCCUUUUCAACAUCAAACUGCUAACCAGUAUGGUAUGUUUUUUUUGUUUAAUCUGCAAUUUAUGAUAAUUCUUUGUUAUUUAUGUAUGGAAUUUAUUGGGAGGAAAUGCAGGAAAGAAUUCAUUUACGUGGUUUGGUCCAAGACCAAGGGUGAACAUUACGGACCCUGAAAAAAUAAGAGAAAUACUUAACAAAUUUAAUGACUUCCAGAAGAUACAUACCAAUCCACUGCUUAAUUUGCUUGUAAGCGGCCUUGCUAACCUCGACGGAGACCGAUGGAGCAAGCGUAGAAAAAUCAUAAACCCUGCAUUUCAUCAAGAUAAGUUGAAGGUAUAGAAUAGUGAUGGGUAAUCAGACUUUACAGAAAACAUCAUACUUAAACCUAUGCUUUUCUGAUUUAGAAAUAAUUGGAUGCAGAAUAUGUUGCCAGCAUUUUAUCAAAGUUGUAGUGACAUGUUAAGCAAAUGGGAGAAGAUGGUGUGUACAAAAGGAUACAGUGAGUUAGAUGUGUGGCCUUAUCUCGUAGAUUUGACAAGAGAUGUGAUUUCCCGAUCUGCUUUUGGAAGCAGCUUCGAAGAAGGCAAACGAAUUUUCCAAUUACUAGAGGACCAACUCGUUCACAUAAUCAAAUUAAUACAAACUGUUUACAUUCCAGGAUGGAGGUAACCGUCAACUUAAUUUACUUGAAAAAGGUUGCAAAUGUUGGAAUUCGCUAAAUUCGUGUUUGUUUUCUUGAAGGUUUUUGCCAACGAAGACAAACAGGGAGAUGAAGAUGAAACACAGGGACAUAAAAGAGUUGCUUAUGGAAAUGAUAAAGAGAAGGGAGAAGGCAAUUAAAGCAGGGGAAGAGAGCAAUGAGGACUUGUUGGACAUACUUGUGGAAUCCAAUAUCAGAGAAAUGGAAGCAAAGAAUAUUGGGAUGAGCAUUGAGGAUGUGAUUGAGGAAUGCAAGCUGUUUUACUUAGCUGGCCAAGAGACCACUUCGGUCUUACUGGUGUGGACUAUGGUUUUAUUAGCAAGGUAUCCCGAUUGGCAAAGUAAAGCAAGAGAGGAGGUUUUGCAUGUUUUGGGUGACAGUAAACCUGACGCUGAUGGCCUUAAUCGUCUCAAAGUUGUAAGUCCCUAGCAUGUCUUUUGAAGGUCCGAUCAAUGAGGUCGACAACUCAAAAACUUUGUUUCUUUUUUCGCUAAUUCUACAGGUAACAAUGAUAUUGUACGAGGUUCUAAGGCUGUACCCACCGGUGGUUGAGCUAGAACGUUCCGUUCCAAAAGAAAUAAAACUGGGGAAUUUGUUGUUACCAGUAGGAACAGAAGUUUCGGUUCCGAUCCUGCUGAUCCACCAUGACAAAGAUCUUUGGGGCGAUGACGCACGGGAAUUUAAGCCAGAGCGGUUCGCGGAAGGGGUUUCCAAAGCAACAAAGAGUCAAGUCACGUUUCUGCCAUUCGGAUGGGGUCCUAGGAUCUGUAUUGGCCAAAAUUUUGCUAUGAUGGAAGCCAAAAUGGCGAUGGCUAUGAUUCUCCAACGCUUCUGGUUCGAGCUUUCCCCUUCCUAUGCUCACUCUCCUUACGGCAGGGCAACUCUUCGUCCACAGCAUGGUGCACAGAUAAUUUUACAUAAACUUGGCUGUAAUUGAAUUGUUAUGUAAACAAAUCUUUGUGAAAACAUAGCGUUUUAGUUUAUCGUCAAAGUCCGGUGUCUGUAAUGGUACAAAUUCGAUGCAUGAAUAGUAAAGUUUGAGAUGUUUGGUGAAGUCCGAAAUAAUAUGCAGAAAUUGAGUGUGGUAAUUAUCAAUCAAAUAAUUCGGUACAAAGACUUACAUGGAAAUUAAAGCAGGGGGAGUUGAAAAUGACUACUCUGCUUUGGGCAUCAAUUUAGAAAGAUUUAAAGUACAAAUGUGUUAUUAGUUAAGGGAUUUGUUUUAAAGAGGGAAUGACAAUUAAACCUCAUGGUUGAUUUGUGGAAGGGAACCGAUGAUGGGAUGAUUAUUCUUAGUGGUAAAAAAAACUAUUGUGGAGGUUAUUAUACUUGUUAUCAUCGGCUUAAAAUUCGAAUGGGUUCAAGUCGGAUUAUAUCGAGCUUGUAAGAUGAGUUCACGGAUCAAAUUUGCAUAAUAAAAAUACUUAAAUGAAAAAAAUUUCUAUUUUAGAGGGACCAGAGCCCCUACCAAUUCCCGGCUCAGCUACUAAACAAUACCCAUAUCAUAUAAAUAAAUACCACCAUAAAAAAAACUCAAAGAAAAACACUGACAAAUGAUAAAUAGAUAGAUGUUGGAUAAGUGUCCAAAAUAUGAUUUAAGUGAAGAUACAUGGGGUAGGUGUCACGGAAAUGUGAAUACAAGAAUACUACUAAUGGGAUGUGUACAGUUGAAUGUAGGGAGCAAAAAGAGGAGUGAAUCAUUUUGGUAACAUUGGGACAAGAAACAUAAUGAACAAAAUGGAAGGAGAGGAAGCUAGUAAAAGAAAUUUUUUGGGUCAUAUAAUUUGUUUGGCAUAUAUUUUUAUAAUUUUUAAAUAUCAUUUUGGACUUGAAUUAUAAUUUUUUUAUAUAUUAUCUUAAAAUUGUAUAAAUUUUAAGGAGUUAAAACAAAAUUAUUCUAUUUUUAGAUGGUUAAAGUAGAGAUGAUAAUGGGUUGAGCUAUUCGGCCCAGCCUGACGAUCCACCCGAAAAAUAGGAAGGUUUGGGUAAAAAUAUAGGCUUGAAAUAUGAAUUUGAGCAAAAAAAGAGGCCCGUUUAGAAAAUGGGCCGAGCCUCGGGUAAAACCUUUUGGGUCUAGACCUGACCUAAAUUAUAUAUUAAAUAUAUAUAUUUUUAUUUUUAAUCAAAUAUACUUUUGUUUUAUUAUUAAUUUGGUUAUUAUUUUAGUUCUAAUUUGUUUCAAUUUUAAUAUAACUACUUUUUAUUAUAUUUUCAAUUUGUGCAUUGUUUUAAGAAUUAUUUUAGUCUCAUUAUUUAUUUAUUUUUUAUUUUAAUAUUUGUUUUAAAAUUUUUUAUUUAUUGAAAUAAGCUAAAAAAAUUAAUAUGGGUUGGACCAGACCGGGCUCGGGCCUAGUAAUUUUCUUUUGGGCCGGACUUAAACAAAUUUUUAAGCCCAUAUUUUGAAUUGGGUCCUACACUAGAAAAUGGACCUAAAAUUUUGUAUUACCUUUAGGUCAGAGCUAUCCUCGUUUUGCAUUUCUUUGAGAUUCAGCCUUAUUUACUUUUGAUUGCCCACUCAAUAGAGGGUUGAGUAGAAAUAUUUGGUGAAGCAAGCUAAGCUAUCAAUCAAGGUGUGCAUAAUUAUUUAAAUGUAAUUCUAAUAUUAAAAUAAAAUUUUUAUUAAUAUAGUAUCAACAAGCAUUAAAUGUAAUCAUCAUAUACUAUUAAAUUUUCAAUAAGAGAAAACAAGCUUGAACUUUAAAAACGAUGUUACUAAAAACAUUAUCACAAAUCUUGAAAUAUAAAAAAUACUUUUUAAUAUAAUAAAAAAAUAAUUUUAAAACCGAGAUGAAUAAAAUUCUAAUUUUAAUUAAUGAUACCAACAACAAAUCAAUAUUUAAAUUAAAAUUUAUCUUAAUUUAAUAUAAUAAAAUUGGACUUGAAUAUUGAAUUUUUGAGUCUUGGGCAAAGUAGAGGUGCUCAUGGGCCGGGUUGGGUCGGGUUUGGGAAAAAUUUCGGCCCGCAUCCUAGGCUCGGGCUCGGCCCGACCCAAAUAUGGGCCUAAAAUUUUGUCUAGGCCUAGCCCGGCCCGGCCCAACUCAUUUUUUUUAAUAAACACCAAAAAUUUAUUUUGAAAAUAAAAAAAUAAAAAAAGUAUUUUAAAAAUAUUUUAAAAUUUUUAAAAAAUAUAUAUAUUUAUUAUAUAUUCGGGCCGGGCCAGGCCCGAGCCAAAAAAGUGGCGCCCAAGGCCCGGCCUGUUUUCUAAACGGGACUCAUUUUUUACCCAAACCCAUAUUUCGGGCCUAUAUUUCUACCCGAAUCUCUCAUAUUUAGGGCGAACCGUCGGGCCGGACCGGGCCGCCCGGCCAUGAACACCUCUAGGACAAAGUCACUCAAUGAAUGCAUGGAAAGAAAUAAUGCAACUUGGUGAUAGCUUUUGUUGGAGUUAUAUGCUUUUUUUUUACGUAGUGGAACUUUCGGUGGAUUUUCAAGUUUCAUGAACUUUAUACUCUAUGCUUUACGUGAAAAAAAAAAUUCAUUGGACUUAAAAGUCUACCAAAAGUUUCACUAAAAAAAAAACCAUUGCUACAAGAUUACAACAUAAAGUUACAAUAAGAGCUUAUAACUCAACAAAGGCUAUCAAUAAAUAAUCUCAAACAAAUUAAAGAGAAAUGUUGAGAGUACCACUCGAAUAGUGAUUAACUUUAAAAAUUGAAAACCCAAAGUUAUAAUAUCCCAAACGAAAUCAAACCAUAAACAUUAAAUUUUUCGAGUCUACUAGAUACUGCAAAAAAUUCAGCUCCAACAGACACCAAAUGAACCUAUGAUCGAAGAAAAUACGAAAACUAGUCUAGCUAAAUCAAGCUGCCAAACUUACUUUUUAUCUUAUCUUUAAUUUGCUGUGAAAUUCAAAACUAAGGUUUUGUACUUAGAACAACUUUCAAAAAGUUAAUUUUGAAAAAUGGAUUGAAUUUUCAAAAUAGAUGAUAUUUUAUUGUGUUAAAAUUUUAUUCGUUGUUUGAAAAAAAAUUUAAAUCAUUUUCUUAGAAUUAUUUUUAGUGAAACAAACAUAUCAUAAAUAUAUUUGUUAUAAAAUAUUUAUAUUAAUAUUUUCUUUUAACAAUUAAAAUAUAUUUUGUGAUAAGGUAUAUUUUAUAAUAAUUAAUAUCAUAUAUACUUAAUAAUAAAUCAUGUCUAAUUAAAAUUUAAUUUCAAUUAAAUAUAUUAAUAAAGCUACAUAUAAUCAUAUUUUAUAUAAUAAAAAUAUUAAUAUAAAUAUUUUUUUAAUAAUAUAUUAAAGAAUAUUUAAAAUUUAAAUUUAUUAUUACUAAGAUUAAUUAUUAAAAUAAAAAUGUAAUGUUAAAUAAUUUAUCCAAUGAUAAGUUAUAUUAAUAAUUUAUUAUAUUAUUAAAUAUAAAUAAUUAAAUAUGUAUGUUUAAUAAUAUUAUGUUAUAAUAUUUAUUAUUAAUAUUUUAAUAUUUUUAAACAACCAUGUUUUAAAGAUGGUGGUGAUGGUGAUGGUGCAGGCCCCCUUGUUACAAUUACAAUAUUUUUAAGUGGGAUGCAUGUAAUAUAUUGUUAGGGUUUUAGAGUGUGUGGUCUUUAAAAGGGUUAAAUUAUAUAUUUAUAUAAUAUGAUUAUUGUUUAUAAAUAUAAUAUUGUAGAUAAACUUUUAUGCAUGUCAAUAUGUAUCCUACUCUGGGGUUAAUAUGUAUUUUUAGAUAUGGAUUCACCUAUAUAAUAGUAUGAAUCCAUCAUGCGGUCUCAUGAAAUAUACAAACACAUAUCGUGCGAACACAAAGUACGAACAAUAAAAAGUACAAAUCAAGACCAAUUGAGUAAUUGAAUAGCAGAUAGGUAAUAAUGACUAUCCCCUCUUGUUUGAAUUUAUUUUAUUUCCAGUGAGUUAUCGUUUAUGAUAAAUUUACAACAAAUGUUUUUAUCAUUAUUUUGUUGGUAAAUGAUAAUAAGAUUAAACUUUACUUUCUUAAGCUCCUUCAAUUCUUUGGACGUUAGCAAGUAAACUUGAGCUUCAGCAUUCCACAAACACCUUAAUUUGAAGACACAGUUCUCCCAUACUAAAAACAACAUGGACGUUUACCUUGUAAUUAGAGAUUUGGGCUCAUUGUUAGGUUAUUAAUGAUACGGGGAUGGAGAGCUUUAAACUGGGUAUGGCUGGCCCCAAAGAGGCUCGAAACGUGCUUGAGACUAGAGGUCCAGGCAAAUUUUUAGGCCCAUUUUUUAGGCCUGGACUGGGCCCGACUCGAAAUAUGAGCUUAAAAAUUUGUCUAAGUUCGGUCCAAAAGAAAAUUGUUAAGCCUAAGCCCGGCCCAUAUUAAAUUUUACAACACCAAAAAACUAUAUAUUUAAUAUAUAUAUUUGAUUAAAAAGUAUAUUUAAUUAAAAAUAAAAAUAUAUAUUUAAUAUAUAAUUCGGGCCGGGCCGAACUCGGGCCAAAAAAGUUUUACUCGGGGCUGGUCCGUUUUCUAAACAGACCUCGUUUUUUUGUCAAAAUCCAUAUUUUAGGCUUAUAUUUUUACCCGAAACUUCCUAUUUUUCGGGUGAACCGUCAGGCCGGACUAGGUAGCCCAACCAAUGAUCACCUCUACUUGAGACAACAGGGUUUUGCAGGGAAUUCUUACAGGUUCGUUUCUGGCGACAUAAAAGAGCUCUUCACUAUAAGCAUACAAACAAGAGCCAAACCUAUGCCUCUUAGUGAUGAUAUUGGGCCUUAUGUUGUUCCUUUUCAACAUCAAACCGUCAAUCAGUAUGGUAUGUUUUUUAAUUUAAUCUGCAAUUUAUGAUAAUUCUUUGCUAUUUAUGUAUGGAAUUUAUUGGGAGGAAAUGCUGGGAAGAAUUCAUUUACGUGGAUUGGUCCAAGAUCAAGGGUGAACAUUACGGACCCGGAAAAAUAAGAGAAAUACUUAACAAAUUUAAUGACUUCCAGAAGGUACGUACCAAUCCACUGCUUAAUUUGCUUGUAAGCGGCCUUGUUAACCUCGAAGGAGACCGAUGGAGCAAGCAUAGAAAAAUCAUAACCCUUCAUUUCAUCAAGAUAAGUUGAAGGUAUAGAAUAGUGAUGGGUACUUAGACUUAAUUUACAGAAAACAUCAUACUUAAAUCUAUGCUUUUCUGAUUUAGAAAUGAUUGGAUGCAGAAUAUGUUGCCAGCAUUUUAUCAAAGUUGUUGUGACAUGUUAAGCAAAUGGGAGAAGAUGGUGUGUACAGAAGGAUACAGUGAGUUAGAUGUGUGGCCUUAUCUUGUAGAUUUGACAAGAGAUGUGAUUUCCCGAUCUGCUUUUGGAAGCAGCUUCGAAGAAGGCAGACGAAUUUUCCAAUUACUAGAGGACCAACUCGUUCUCACAAUCAAAUUAAUACAAACUGUUUACAUUCCAGGAUGGAGGUAACCCUCAACUUAAUUUACUUGAAAAAGGUUGCAAAUGUUGGAAUUGGCUAAAUUCGUGUUUGUUUUCUUGAAGGUUUUUGCCAACAAAGACAAACAGGGAGAUGAAGAUGAAACACAGACAUAAAAGAGUCGCUUAGGGAAAUGAUAAAGAGAAGGGAGAAGGCAAUUAAAGCAGGGGAAGAGAGCAAUGAGGACUUGUUGGACAUACUUGUGGAAUCCAAUAUCAGAGAAAUGGAAGCAAAGAAAAAGGGGAUGAGCAUUGAGGAUGUGAUUGAGGAAUGCAAGCUGUUUUACUUUGCUGGCCAGGAGACCACUUCGGUCUUGCUGGUGUGGACUAUGGUUUUAUUAGCAAGGUAUCCCGAUUGGCAAAGUAAAGCAAGAGAGGAGGUUUUGCAUGUUUUGGGUGACAGUAAACCUGAUGCUGAUGGCCUUAAUCGUCUCAAAGUUGUAAGUCCCUAGCAUGUCUCUUGAAGGUCCGAUCUCUGAGGUCGACAACUCAAAAACUUGGUUUCUUUGUUUCGCUAAUUCUACAGUUAACAAUGAUAUUGUACGAGGUUCUAAGGCUGUACCCACCAGUGAUUGAGCUAGGACGUUCCGUUCCAAAAGAAAUAAAACUGGGAAAUUUGUUGUUACCAGCAGGAACAGACGUUUCGGUUCCAAUCCUGCAGAUCCACCAUGACAAAGAUCUUUAGGGCGACGACGCACGGGAAUUUAAGCCACAGCGGUUCACGGAAGGGGUUUCCUAAGCAACAAAGAGUCAAGUCACGUUUCUGCCAUUCGGAUGGGGUCCUAGGAUCUGCAUUGGCCAAAACUUUGCCAUGAUGGGAACCAAAAUGGCGAUGGCUAUGAUUCUCCAACGCUUCUGGUUCGAGCUUUCCUCUUCCUAUGCUUACUCUCCUUACAACAUGGCAACUCUUCGUCCACAGCAUGGUGCACAGAUAAUUUUACAAAAACUUGGCUGUAAUUGAAUUGUUAUGUAAACAAAUCUUUGUGAAAAUAUAGUGUUUUAGUGUAUCGUCAAAGUCUGCCUGUAAUGGUACAAUUCCGAUGCAUGAAUAGUAAAUCUUGAGAUGUUUGGUGAAGUCCGAAAUAAUAUGCAGAAAUUGAGUGUCUUGAAUGGAUGUAGUAUUUAAUGGUGGACAUAGUUGAGGGACUAAUGUGGUAAUUAUCAAACAAAUAAUUGCAUAUGGUACAAAGACUUGUAUGGAAAUUAGAGCAGGGCGAGUUGAAAAUUACUACUUUGCUUCGGGCAUCAAUUUAGAAAGAUUUAAAGUACAAAUGUAUUAUUAGUUUAAGGGAUUUGUUUUAAAGAAGGAAUGACAAUUAAACCUCAUGGUUGAUGUGUGGAAGGGAACCAAUGAUGGGAUGAUUACUCUUAGUGGUAAAAAAAAAAACUAUUAAGGUGGUUAUUAUAGUUGUUAUCACCGGCCCAAAAUUCGAAUAGGUUCAGGUCGGAUUAUAUUGAGCUUGUAGAUGAGUUUGCAUGAUAAUAGGUGUUCACAGAAAGAUAUCUAUAGUUUCCUACAAAGUCACAUGUGAGAUCGUGCAUUGGGACCGCAUAAAAAUGUUUUAUGUUUAGAAUAUGAUACGUGUCUAUGUGUAUGGAAUCUACCUAAUAUAUCAUAUUAAUUAAUAGUAUCAAUUGCGGAGCCAAAAAAUUAUUUCUGAGGGGUCAGAAUUAAAUUGUAUAUUUUUACAAAAAUAAAAAUUAAAUUUCACUAUUUUAAUAGUUUAUUUCUUUUUAAUUUUUAAAUGAUUAAAUUAAAUUUUUAUAAAUUUUUGGGAUCAAAGUACAAUUUUAUCAUUUCUAAUUUAAAAUUUUAUAAAAUAUAAAAAGUUUAUAUGAAAAGUUUUCUAUUUUAGAGUGGCCAAAGCCCCUGCCAACUUCCGACUCGAUCACUAAACAAUAUAAAUAAAUAAAUACCACCAUCUAAAAGACUCAAGAAAAACACUCAACGAUAAAUAGAUAGAUGUUGGGUAAAGAUACGUUUGGAUGGGCGGUGCGUUUACUUGCGGUUAGUAUAAAAAUAGCGGUGGCGGUUAGAUUAGAUACUAUAGCAACACUGUAGCGUAAGACAAAAAAUAAGCUAAACGUACUGCACUGCACUUAAUCGCCCAUCCAAACUCACCCUAAGUGUACAAAAUAUGAUUUAAGUGAAGAUACGUAGGGUAGGUGUCAUGGAAAUGUAAAAGACAAGAAUCCCACUAAUGUAUGGGAUGUGUACAGCUGAAUGUAGGGAGCAAAGAGGAGUGAAUCAUUUUGGUAACAUUUGGACAAGAAACAUAAUGAACAAAAUGAAAGGAGAGGAAGCUAGUAAAAGAUUUUUUUGAGUUAUAUAAUUUGUUUGGCAUAUAUUUUUAUAAUUUUUAAAUAUCAUUUUGGAGUUGAAUUAUAAUUUCUUUUUAUGUUUUAAAACAUAAUUAUUCUAUCUUCAAAGGGUUAGAGUAGAGGUGAGCAUGGGUCGGGCUACUCGGCCCGAAAUGUGAGAGAUUUGGGCAAAAAUAUAGGCUCAAAAAAUGGACUUGGACAAAAAAAUAUAAGACCCGUUGAAAAAUGGGCCGGGCAUUGGGUAAGGCAUUUUUGGCCCUGGGCCCGGCCCAAUCCUAAUUCACUAAAGGACAAAAAAAAUUUGAUUUUUAAAUAUUAUUUUCUUCCUAUUUUGCUACCAUUUUACUAUUAUGUUGCUACUAUUUUGUUGUUAUUUUUUGGAUAUUGUAUAAAACUUAUUUUAUUGUUAAUUUUGUUAUUAUUUUAAAGACAUUUGUUAAUUUUGUUAUUAUUUUAGAGACAUUUGCUUGUUAAGUUGUAUCUAUCUUAGUGUUAUUUAAGUGUACAUAUUUUUUAAAAUUUAUUUUCAAUUUAUUGGGAAAUAUUUAUUUUGAUGUUUUUAGUAUUUUGGAUGUAUUAUAUAUAUUAAAAUUAUAUAAAAAUUAAUAUGGCCGAGCCGAGUCAGGCCCAGAUUUUAGCAUUUUUAUUCAGGUCGGGCUUGAGCAAAAUUUUAAGCCCAUUUUUUGGGCCAAACCAGGCCUGGGCUUAGCAAAUGGGCCUAAAUUUUUAGUCAAGCCCGACCUAAACCCGAUCCGGCCCAUGCUCACCUCUAGAUCAGAGCUGCCCUCGCUUUGCAUUUCUUUGAGAUUCAGUCUUAUCUACUGUUGAUUGCCCACUCAAUGGAGGGUUGAGUAGAAAGAUUUGGUGAAGCAAGCUAAGCUAUCAAUCAAGGUUGGAGAAAGCUUAGGAGGUCACAAUGCAUAAUUAUUUAAAUGUAAUUCUAAUAUUUAAAUAAAAUUUAUUAAUAUAGUAUUAACAAGCCCUAAAUGUAAUGAGUAUAUACUAUUACAUUUUUAAGAAGAGAAAACAUGUUUGAACCUUAAAAACAUCAUUAUUAAAAAUGAUAAUUACAAAUUUUAAAAUAUAAAAAAUAUAAUUAAAAAUUAAUUUUAAACCCGAGCUGGAUAAAAUUCUAAUUUUAGAUAACGAUACUAAUAAGAAAUCAAUAUUAAAAUGAAAAUGAAAAGUAAUUUAAUAUAAUUUUUGAGUCUUGGGCAAAGGCACUCAAUGAAUGCUUGGAAAGAAAUAAUGCAACUUGGUGAUAGCUUUUGUUGGAGUAGUAUGCUCUUAUUAUAGUUUUAUGUUUUUAUCUUGCAAAAACAACAUAUUGGAGUUUUCGGCAUGAUUUUUUCUUAAUACUUUACAUGAAAAAUAAUAAUGGGACUUAAAAAUCUAUCAAAAGCUUCACCAUAAUAAUAAUAAUAAUAAUAAUAAUAAUAAAUUGCUACAAUAUUACAACACAAAGUUACAAUAAGAGCUUAUAACUCAACAAAGGUUAUCAAUAAAUAAUCUCAGGCAAGCUAAAGAGAAAUGUUGAGAAUACCACCCGAAUAGUGACUGACUUUAAAAGUUGAAAACCCGAAGCUAUAGUAUCUCAAACGAAAUCAAACCAUUAACAUUAAAAUUUUCAAGUCUACUAGCUACUGUAAAAAAUGCAGCUCCAACAUACACCAAAUGAGUCUUUGAUCGAAGAAAGUACAAAAACUAGUCUGGGUAAACCAAGCUGCCAAACUUACUUAUCUUAUCUUUAAUUUUGCAGUGAAAUUAAAAAUUAAGUUUUUGUUUAUUUCACUUGGAACAACUUUCAAAAAAUUAUUUUUGAAAAAUGGAUUGGUUUUUCGAAAUAGAUGAUAUUUUAUUGUGUUAAAAUUUUAUUCGUUGUUGGAAAACUUUUUUUAAAUCAUUUUCUUAAAGUUAUUUUUAGUGAAACAAACAUAACAUAAAUAUAUUUGUUACAAAAAAAUUAUAUUAGUAUUUUCUUUUGACAAUUAAAAUUUAUUUUAUGAUAAGACAAUAUUUUGUAAUAAUUAAUAUCAUAUAUAUAUACGUAAUAAAAAAAUCUUGUUUAAUUAAAAUUUAAUUAAAAUUAAAUAUAUUAAUAAAGCUACAUAUAAUCAUAUUUUUUAUAAUUAAAAUAUUAAUAUAAAUAUUUUUCAAUAAUAUAUUAAAAUAUUAAAAUUUAAAUUAUUAUUACUUAAAUUAAUUAUUAAAAUAAAAAAUUUAAUAUUAAAUAAUUUAUUCAAUGAUAAGUUUUAUUAAUAAUUUAUUGUAUUAUUAAAUAUAAUUAAUUAAAUAUGCAUAUUUAAUAAUAUUACGUUAUAAUAUUUUAAUAUUCUUAAACAGCCAUGUUUUUAAGAUGCUGGUGAUGGUGAUGCUGCGGGCCUCUCUUGUUACAAUUACUAUAAUUUUUUGUGCAAUAAUUGAAGUUGUUGGGUGGUCAAGCAAACCUCUUUUGACUGAGAUGCAUAUAAUAUACCCGCAUGUCCCCGCCUCCUAAAAUUUAAAUUUGUUAUUUGAAUCUUUAAAUUUUUUAAUAUAAUAUACCCGCAUGUCCCCGCCUCCUAAAAUUUAAAUUUGUUAUUUGAAUCUUUAAAUUUUUUAAAAAUUUUAAAUUCAUAAAAGUAAAAUUAUACUUUGACCCUCUAAAAUUAUAAAAAUUUAAUUAAUCUUUUAAAUUCAUUGGGCCCCUAAUAUAUUGUUCAGGCUUCACCCUUGAUACUGAUGUUGACUAUUUUAGAGUAUGUGUCUUCUUUAACAGGGUUAAAUUAUAUAUUUAUAUAAUAUAGUUAUUGUUUAUGGACGUGACAUCGUAACUAGGUUCUUAUGCAUGUCAACAUAUAUCCUAUUUUAAGGUUAACACGUAUUUUUAAAUGUGAAUUCACCUAUAUAAUGGUAUGAACCAUCAUGCAGUCUCAUAAAAUAUGCGAAUAUAUGUCGUGCGAACACAAAGUACAAUCCACACAGAAUACGAAUUAAGACCCAAUUGAAUAAUCGGAUACGAAUCAGUAAUAAUGAAUUUCAUAACAGCCACCAACCCCUCUUUUGUUUUAAUUUAUUUUAUUUCCAGUAAGUUAUUGUUUGUGAGAAUUCACAACAAAUGCUUUUGUCAUUAUUUUGUUGGUAAAUAAUAAUAAGAUUAAACUUUACUUUCUUAAGCUCCUUCAAUUCUUUGGAAGUUGGUGGUUUUUUAUUCUAAUCUUAUUUUUUUUAUUAAUUUCUUUUUUUAUAAUAAAUGUGUUUAUAGAUCAGGUUGGAUUAUAAUUGAAUCAUUGUCUGGUAUUAACAUAAUUUAAAUCGAUUAAAAUUUAUUCGACUGGAAAUAUAAAUUUAAAAUUUUACUUCAAUUUAUCUUAAUUUAUAAAUUGUGAAUUUAAAUUUAUUUAUUUUCUCUCAUUAUAUUCAGUUUUUCGGAUCAUAUUUGGCCCAGAACAAAAACUAGAACAAAAAAACAAAUAUAUAUGUUUUCCAAAAAUUAAAUUGUUAACUUUAAAAAAAUAUAUUUUUAGCUAUUUAUCAUCAUAGAGAAAAACAAAUAAGGUCACCUCGCCUUAUGCUUCAACACCUCAACCUAGAUUCUCAUCACCUGUAUUUAUCAUCGAUUCAGAUUUUUAUUUUUACUAUAUUCUAGAUCUACCUAUAAAUAUAUCUUCAAACUUCCUCUGGUUAAGUUCAUUCAUAGAUAGGUGAGUAAACUUGAGCUUCAGCUUCAACAAACACCUUAGUUUGCAAUUCUCUCAUACUAAAAAUAUGGAAGUUUACCAUGUAAUUAGAGAUUUGGUCUCAUUGCUUGUUGUUGGUUUAUUAAUGAUAUGGGGAUGGAGAGCUUUAAACUGGGUAUGGUUGGCCCCAAAGAGGCUCGAAAGGUGCUUGAGACAACAGGGUUUUGCAGGGAAUCCUUACAGGUUCCUUUCUGGUGACAUAAAAGAGCUCUUAACUAUGAGCAGACAAACAAGAGCCAAACCUAUGCCUCUUAGUGAUGAUAUUGGGCCUUAUGUUGCUCCUUUUCUUCAUCAAACUGUCAACCAGUAUGGUAUGUUUAAUUAUUAUUUAAUCUUCAAUUUAUGAUAAUUCUUUGUUAUUUAUGAAUGGAAUUUAUUGGGAGGAAAUGCAGGAAAGAAUUCAUUUACGUGGAUUGGUCCAAGACAAAGGGUGAACAUUAUGGACCCUGAAAAAAUAAGAGAAAUAUUUACCAAAUUUAAUGACUUCCAGAAGGUGCGUACCAAUCCACUGCUUACUUUGCUUGUAAGCGGCCUUGUUAACCUCGAAGGAGACCGAUGGAGCAAACAUAGAAAAAUCAUAAACCCUUCAUUUCAUCAAGAUAAGUUGAAGGUAUAGAAUAGUGAUGGGUACUUAAGACUUAAUUUACAGAAAACAUGAUACUUAAAUCUAUGCUUUUCUGAUUUAGAAAUGAUUGGAUGCAGAAUAUGUUGCCAGCAUUUUAUCAAAGUUGUUGUGACAUGUUAAGCAAAUGGGAGAAGAUGGUGUGUACAGAAGGAUACAGUGAGUUAGAUGUGUGGCCUUAUCUUGUAGAUUUGACAAGAGAUGUGAUUUCCCGAUCUGCUUUUGGAAGCAGCUUCGAAGAAGGCAGACGAAUUUUCCAAUUACUAGAUGACCAACUCGUUCUCAGAAUCAAAUUACUACAAACUGUUUACAUUCCAGGAUGGAGGUAACCCUCAAUUUACUUGAAAAAGGUUGCAAAUGUUGGAAUUGGCUAAAUUCGUGUUUGUUUCCUUGAAGGUUUUUGCCCACAAAGACAAACAGGGAGGUGAAGAUGAAACACAAAGACAUAAAAGAGUCGCUCAGGGAAAUGAUAAAAAGAAGAGAGCAGGCAAUUAAAGCAGGGGAAGAGAGCAAUGAGGACUUGUUGGACAUACUUGUGGAAUCCAAUAUCAGAGAAAUGGAAGCAAAGAAAAAGGGGAUGAGCAUUGAGGAUGUGAUUGAGGAAUGCAAGCUGUUUUACUUUGCUGGCCAGGAGACCACUUCGGUCUUACUGGUGUGGACUAUGGUUUUAUUAGCAAGGUAUCCCGAUUGGCAAAGUAAAGCAAGAGAGGAGGUUUUGCAUGUUUUGGGUGACAGUAAACCUGAUGCUGAUGGCCUUAAUCGCCUCAAAGUUGUAAGUCCCUAGCAUGUCUUUUGAAGGUCCGAUCAAUAAGGUCGACAACUCAAAAAUUUGGUUUCUUUUUUCGCUAAUUCUACAGUUAACAAUGAUAUUGUACGAGGUUCUAAGGCUGUACCCAUCAGCGACUGAGCUAGGACGUUCCGUUCCAAAAGAAAUAAAACUGGGAAAUUUGUUGUUACCAGCAGGAACAGAAAUUUCGGUUCCGAUCCUGCUGAUCCACCAUGACAAAGAUCUUUGGGGCGAUGACGCACGGGAAUUUAAGCCAGAGCGGUUCGCGGAAGGGGUUUCCAAAGCAACAAAGAGUCAAGUCACGUUUCUGCCAUUCGGAUGGGGUCCUAGGAUCUGCAUUGCCCAGAAUUUUGCUAUGAUGGAAGCCAAAAUGGCGGUGGCCAUGAUUCUCCAACGCUUCUGGUUCGAGCUUUCCCCUUCCUAUGCUCACUCUCCUUGCAGCAUGGUAACGCUUCGUCCACAGCAUGGUGCACAGAUUAUUUUACAUAAACUUGGCUCUAAUUGAGUAGUUAUGUAAACAAAUCAUUGUGAAAAUAGUGUUUUAACGUAUCGUAAAAACUCCGGUGUCUGUAAUGGAACAAUUCCGAUGCAUGGAUAGUAAAUUUUGUGAUGUUUGGUGAAGUCCGAAAUAAUAUGCAGAACUUGAGUGUCCUGAAUGGAUGUAGUAUUUAAUGGUGGACAUAGUUGAGGGACUAAUGUGGGAAUUAUCAAACAAAGAAUUGCAUAUGGUACAAAGACUUGUAUGGAAAUUAGAGCAGGGGGAGUAGAAAAUGACUACUUCUACGGGCAUCAAUUGAGAAAGAUUUCCGGUGCAAAUGUUAGCAAAUUUUUGAGCUUCAGCCUUAAACAUUAGCAAGAUUGCAAUACCGGGAUUAUCUAGUGUUGGUUGCCCACUCAAUUGAGGGUUAAGUUGAAGGAUUUGUUGAAGCAAGCUAAGCUAUCAAUCAAGGUUGGAGCAAGCUUAGGAGGUCACAAUACAUCAUUAUUGCAUAAUUAUUUAAAUGAAAUUUAAUAUUUAAAUAAAAAAUAUUAAUAUAGUACCAACAAUAUUCCAUUUCUUUUAACCAAGUGUUUCUAGAUUAUGAAAUUCAUUAAUGAUUUGUAAAAUAUAUUGAUGCGAUCCCGGCCGCAUCAUGUUUCGAUACAACUCGAUGACCUCAGAAUUGACCUAAACUCUAGGGGCCCAAGUGCAAAAUGAAGCUUAAUUUCAGCUCAAUGAGCUCAAUUCUAGCUUCUUCAAGCUCGUCUAGUUCAACCCAAGCUCAUUUAGCUUAACUUCAACCCAUUUUUAAUUUGUUGGAAUAAGUAUUUAGUUGCUGGAAUAAAUUACUCAUCUUAGUUAAUUGAGUUCAUCUUAGUUAAUUAAGUUGUUGGAAUAUAUUACUCAUCUUAGUUAAUUUAGUUGCUAGAAUAAUUUAUUGUUGCAUGUGUUUUUAAGUUUAUUAAAUUCAGUUAAGUGUUAAAUGUGUUUAUUUACAGUUUAUUAACUAAGCUUGUUAAGUCUAAUAUGUGUUAAAAUGUGUUUAAUGUGUUUGUUUGUAGGUGACUAAUCAGUUGGAAACAAUUAUGUACAAGGGCUGUUACAAAGUGUUAAAUGCGACUAUUCAUUUGGAAUCGGUUACAUACAAGGGGCUAUUACAUUAUUUAAAGGAGAGCAUUAUACAUCAUUUAAAGGAGAAUUUAAAGCUUUUCUUAAAACUUUUUGGCUGCUCAAGAAUGAAAUCUAAGCAUUCAAGCUUAUUAAAUCAACUGAAUUAGAACAUUAAAUGAUCUUAUUGAUAGUUGCUGUUAUUUAGGCCUAGAAUUUCAAGAGUUUGUGCUUAGUGACUAAGUUAAUUUCAGCUCAUUAUUAGCUCAUUAAGCUGAACAAAAGUGACUAUUCGGCUAGGCCUCAUCUAGCACUAUAAAUACUUGUAAUCAGCUCAUUGUAAAAAAAACUUUUUGCUGAAUUUAUGCUAAAUUUGAAACUUGUGAGAUUUCCAAUUCUCGUUGUUCUUUCGAGAUUGAAUUGACUUAUCAAGUUUUCUUGUGGCAUCAUUCUUUCUUUUGUUUAAACCGAAUCUUAUCACCUUUUGGUGUGGCGUUCAUAUACAUUUGGUUCCUAUCACUUUUGAUAGUGGGUAAAGGUCAUUGCUGCUUUCUUUAAAUCGUAAAUCACCUAAGAGCCAUUUUGAGACUCGGGUCAACAAUCUAAUAUUGUUGGUUCAUUCUCGGUCUUAGCCAAAUUAUCCAUUAUUUACUUAACCAUUUUACCUACUACCAUUGUUUGAAGCCAUUUAUCCUAUUUUGUUUCAUUUAACUGAAACGAACUUAUCCUUACUCAAUUCACGAUCGGGUAAUCUAAACGACUCGAAUCAUUCCGAAACGAGUUCGUAUCAUAUAUCCUCCAUUCUUAUUGAGUGGGUGUAAUGAAAAUUCUCCUAUUUCUAAUUGUGAUAAAGUAGAAACUCUCUUUAGAAAAAAGGCAGCAACAUUUUUCAAUUAUUAAUUGAACACCUUGGUGAAUUUUCGUUUUUUUUCUUUUUUUCUUUUUACGGUUCAAUUUUCGUUUGGGUAUUGUAAUUUCAGGUUAAUCAUUGUUUGGUUGAUAUUCUCAACUUCAAUCUUUAAUUUACUUGAGAUUAUUAGUUGAUUGUUUUUGUUGGAAUUAUAUGAUUUUAUUGUGUAUUUAUGUUUUAAUCUUUUAGAAAGAAGUUUUUAUGUGGACUUUCAAGCUUCGUAAUUUUUAUUAUUUGCUUUACGUAAAAAAAACUCGUGGGAUACAAAAAUUCACAAAAAAACUUGCUAUAAGAUUACAACACAAAACCAUAAGCUUAUAACUCAACAAAAGCUAUCAAUAAAUAAUCUCAAGCUAGCUAAAGAGAAAUGUAAAGAAUAUCACCCAAACAGUAACUUGCUUUAAAAGUUAAAAAUCCAAAGUUAUAGUACCCCAAACGAAAAUCGAAUAUUAAACAUUAAAGAUCUUCGAUUCUACUAGCUAUUGUAAAAAAAAAAAAUUCCAACGGACACCAAAUAGACCUUUGAUCGAAGAAAAUACGAAAACUAGUCUGGUUAAAACUACAUGCCAAACUCACUUUUUCUCAUUUCUUUAACUUGCGGUGAAAUUCAAAACUAAGGUUAUAUUUUUUUCACUGAAAUUAACUUUAAAAAAAUUAUCUCUAAAAAAUGAUUGAUUUUUCAAAAAAGAUUGAUAUUUUUUUAUGUUUGGAUGAUUUUUUGUAAAAUAUAUUUCGUUGUUUGACAAAUUUUUUUGAAAUAAUUUUCUUAGAGUUGUUUUUAGUAAAACAAACAUAAGAUAGAUAUAUUUGUUACAAAAGAUUAUAGUAACAUUUUCUUUUGACAAUUUAAAUUUAUUUUAUAACCAGAUGAUAUUUUAUAAUAAUUAAUAUUAUAUAUAAACUUAAUAAUAAACAAUAUCUAAUUAAAACUUAAUUUAUAUUAAAUAUAUUAAUAAAGCUAAGUAUAAUUUAAACAAAUACUCAUGUUUUAUAUCAUUAAAAUAUUAAUAUAAAUAUUUUUCAAUAAUAUAUUAAGAAUAUUAUUUAAAAUUUAAAAUUAUUAUUUUUAAAAUUAAUUAUUAAAAUAAAAAUGUAAUAUUAAAUAAUUUAUCAAAAUGAUAAGUCAUAUUAAUAAUUUAUUAGAUUAUUAAAUAUAAAUAAUUAAAUAUGUAUAUUUAAUAAUAUUGAACAUUAUAAUAUUUUUUAUUAAUAUUUUAAUAUUAUUAAUAUAAUAAUAUUGGACUUGAUUCAAGUUAAUUUUUAUAUAAAAAAAUAAAAUUACAUGUAAAUGAACUCAUUUUCAAAAAAAUAACUUGUACUUUUAAAAAAGGUAAACUAAUUUACAGAAAAAUAAACUUAUUUUCUGUUAAUCUAUAAUUUUUUUUGUUAAUCAAAUUAUUUUCAUGAAAUAAAUAUAAAAAAAUACAAAAAAAAAACAGUUUCCAUAUUAACACUCAAUACUAAACUGUCAUUUUCCUCAGCUUCCCUAAUUUGUAUGUAGCAGUGAACGUUUGAUCGAAUCGAGUAAAAAAAAUUGAGUUGACGAGUCAUAUUUUAUCAUCUUAACUUGAUUUGAGAUUUUUUUAAAUCAAGUCAAAGACUAAGAGCACAUAAAUUUGAAACCUUAUCUAUUUGAAUUUGUUUUUAAAAAAAAAGAAAAAAAAUACUUUAGCAUGAUAAACUUGAAUUGUGAAUUAACUUAUUUAGAUCCCAAAAUUAUUAUUUUAUAAUUUUUUUAAAAAAUAUAAAUUUUAAAAUUUUUAUAAAUAUUUUGAAUUGAAUUUUUGUUGAGAGAGAGACCGAUCUAUCAUUUUCAAAAUUAAAAAAAAGACCAAACUAUAUUUACAGCAAUUUAUUAUUCGAAUUAUUUAAAUUAUAUAAUUUAACUCAAUUUAAAAUCGAAACUCGAAUAACUAAAUUUAAUUAACCCGAAAUUUAUUUUUUAAAUUUUUUAAAUCAAAUCGAAUUUUGUUCGCCCUACAUCAAUAACUUUGUAUCCAUAUCAAGCUUUUUUUUAAGCUAUAUAUAUUAUUUUAGAGAAUACAUGGUCACCACGGUUCAAUGAUUGAACACCACUCCACUCUCCACUUUUUUUUGUGGUUUAUCCUCUUAAUUUUUUGAGGAUAUCAUUUACUAAAUAAUUUAUUUUUUACAUAAAUUUUAAUAUAUAUUAAUAAUAAAUUAAUUCAAUUGGUAAUAUUUAACUAUUCUCAUGACUCAUUUUUAAUAAAGAAAAUAAUAAAAUUCAAUUAUGAUAAGGAGGUUUUAUUUUUAACAAAAAUUAUUUUUUAUAUUUCUAAGUUUAAAUCUAAAUUUAUACAAGUUAUUCUUUAUUUUAUAUCUAAUUAUUGUAAAACAUAAAUAAUAAUUUUUUUUUUUCCUUUUCAUGCUACCAAACAAUCCAUUAAUCAUUAAUUAUAUUAAAAUCUUUGACUUAUUAAUAUUUAUGGACAGUAAAUCGGAUGCUAAAGAAAUCUUAGUCAAACCAAAAAGAAAGAAGAGAUAGAGGUGGGCAAAGCUGAGGUUCAGCUUUCAUAAACACCUUCAUUUGAAGACACAGUUCUCAUACUCAAACCAAAAGACAUGGAAGUUUUCCUUGUAAUUAGAGAUCUGGUUUCACUGCUUGUUGUUGGGUUAUUAAUGAUAUGGGGAUGGAGGGCUUUAAACUGGGUAUGGUUGACCCCAAAGAGACUCGAAAGGUGCUUGAAACAACAGGGUUUUGCAGGAAAUCCUUAUAGGUUCCUUUCUGGAGACAUCAAAGAGAGCUUCACUAUGAGCAGACAAACAAGAGCCAAACCUAUGCCUGUUAGUGAUGAUAUUG
rnacentral:lncRNA from 1 species